rnacentral:lncRNA from 1 species
AUUCACUAUGGUUCAUCAAAUUUGUUCGAACCGGUUGGGAUGUCCCAGAUCAUGCUCAAAUUUGAGGGAGUUCUAGGAUGUCUAGGCACAACGCAAACACCGUCAAGUUUGCCUUGGACCCCAUCAUAAACUCUUUUUUUCUCUUCCCUGGAUGGAUAUUUGAUGGAUAUGGUGUCAUGGUCUUCACCUAACCCACUUUUCAUGGACACAUCCAGCCGUGUGUGCGGAUAUUUGAUGAUGUCCUAUAGGGGAUUCGUGUUGGAGUUGACAUUAGAGCAACUCUAACAUAAUCACUAUAUUGUUGAGAUUGUGAUAAUAAUUAUCAGUUUGAUGGUUUUGGCUAGAAUGUGCGGUCUAGCAGAUUCGCCAUCCCAACCUGGAUUGCCAUAAUUUAUGUAAACCAUUUCAAAUUGAGCAUGCGAGCGUGCAUGUUUGAAGGCUAUGGGGUGUUGCAUUCGAGCGUGCACAUCGGGAACCACUCUUGCAAGAGGGAGGUUCAUCUCAUCCUCCUCGUCCCACACGCCUCGUAUUCCCUCUCUAUCAAUGGCUCAAAUGGCUAUACACUCAUCUCGAAGGGAAGCGAACUAGUCAAUGAUGGUCGUUGCGUGCCAAUAGCCCGAGGCAACUGGUACCACGUUACCCAUCAAUUUUCCCCGUUGACCACCACGUUUGCCUAAAUGCAUUCGCGGAUAAUGAUCGAUCAAGCCUCAAAUAAUUCAUACUACAAUAGGAUAUAUCAUAUUAAAAACAUCAAAUCCAUACUAUUACAUGCAGUAUAAAAUGAUAUUUAAGUGGAGCUCCUCCGCCUCCGUCGUGCCCAUGUCUGGCGACCCGCUGGACUCUCCAAAGUGUUGGUCCGGUCACUAGCGAGGUAUAGUAUGACAAGGGACACUAGCCAGCUCACCCGAGUCGAGCUCCCCACCAUCUCGCAUGCCCUACUCUUCCUCGUCGGAUCCCAUAAUCUGGACGGUGGAAAGGAUUGAUAUGGUUGACUUCAAGGGGGGUUGAAUAGGCAACUACCAAAUUUUUGUUUUUCUUAACAAAUUAGGUUUAGCAACAAAUAGGUUGUCUAGAUAUGAAACUAGAUGAACAACCUAUAUGAUGCUAGCAACAACAAUAAUACAAGCAAGAAAGGGAUACAACAGAAGUAAAUCUGGCACAACAUGAUACUCUCUAUAUGAAGAACAAGGUUCACACACAAGUAUGGUAAAGGAUAGUAGCAAAGUCCCUUCUCUCUUUUUAUCUCAUUCAUUUUUUAUGAUAGGCUCAUUCGCCCCCCCAUUUUCAUUUCCUCACCAGGACAAUUCUCUAAUAAUGACGAUCAUCACACUUUUAUUUACUUACAACUCAAUAUGAAAACUGAUAGGACGUUAUGACUCUGUAUGAAUACCUCGGGCAGCGUACCAGGAUGUGCAAACAUCUAGAGUGACAUGUAUCAAAAAUAUGAUGAACGGUGGCUUUGCGAGAAAUACUAUGUCAACUGUAUAUGAUCAUGCAAAGCAUUAUGAUGAUGAACGGACUAGUCAUGUGAAGUAACGAUGGCAUUUGCAUGACAAUAUAUCUAGGAAUCGCUAUGGAAAUGCCAUGAUAGGUAGGUAUGAUGGUAGUUUUGAGGAGGAUACAAAAAGGCUUAUGUGCAACAGAGCGUGUCAUGUCACGGGGUUUGGAUGCACCGGCAAAAGUUGCACCGAUCCUCAAGGUGAGAACGGGCGAUGCACGAUACCGAAGAGGCUAGCAAAUAUGAGGAGGUGAGAUUGCAUAUGUCCAUGGUGUCAUAUUAGUCAUGAAGAACUUAUGUACUUAUUGCAAAGUUUUAUUAGUUUUAUCACAAAUCAAAGUACUACUCGCAUGCCCCGAGGUAUAGUGUUGGUAGGAAUUAACCAUCGCACGACUCCAACUCAAAACAACACUAGGAUUUUAACGAGGAAUAGAAAUGCUCACACGUCAUCACCAUGGCCUUUUAAUUUUUAGAUGAACAAGAAGUUUAACAUCUCUUAAUAUCGACACCUCUCUUAAUUCAUAAUAAUGCACUCACACCUUUUUCAUAUCACCACAUCAGUAUCAUUAACUCCGAAUUUCUCUAUAUGUGUUACAUGAUGGUUUUAAUUAUCACUCACUGAACACCCAUUAUUUUUGAUCUAGUCUUAUGACCCAUGCAAAUUGCAGUCACUAUUUAGUUAACUCUCAAACAAAUAUAAGUGAAUAACGAGAGCAUAAUAUUUCUAUAAAAUCUAUACGCCACCGUGCUCAAAAAUAUAUAAGUGAAGUACUAGAGCAACCGCUAAGCUCAAAAGAUAUAAGUGAAGCACAUAGAGUAUUCUAAAAAAUUAUGAUGGUGUGGUAUCUCUAUCAAAUAGGUGUGUCCAUCAAACGAUGAUUGUGGAAAACUUAAAGUAAAAUCAAACAAAAGAAAACGAUGAUCCAAGGAAAACUCAUAUCAUGUGAUGAAUAAAAAUGCAGCUCCAAGUGACAUAUCGAUGGAUUGAGACGAAAAGAGGGGAUGCCUUCCGGGGCAUCCCCAAGCUUAGAUGCCUGAGUCUUCCUAGAAUAUUACCUUGGGGUGCCUUGGGAAUCCCCAAUCUUAGGAUUUUUCUGAUCCUCAUUCCUUUGUCCAUUGGAUAAUACCCAAACUUGAAAACUUCAAUCACAUAAAACUCAACAAAACUUCGUGAGAUCCGGUAGUAUAAGCAACAUAUCAAAUACUUUCAGGUGCUAUUACAAGUUGAUUCUUAUUUUAUUUUAUCAUAAGGUACUGUAUUCUAACAUCUCCAUGGCAUAUAUCCCCCGAUACAAUUAAUAGCAUCAUCAAAACAAGCAAACUAUGCAAGCAAAAACAGAAUCUGACUGAAACAGAAUAGUCUGUAGUAACCUAUAAUGAACCUAUACUUAUGUAACUCCAAAAAUUAUGAAAUUAGGAUGAUCUGAGGAAUUUGUGUAGAAAUACCACAUAAAACAUUGAGCUUAAAAAGUAGUUCUAGUAAAAUCAGAGAAAUUAUGCAUUGGACGUCAAAGUUUCUGUUUUUGCACCGUAUCAGUUCUACUCAUCGUACAAAUCAUCCCAAAGGUUUUACUUGGCACAAACACCAACAAAAAGAAUAAAAACACAGUAAUUACACAGUCAAUAAUCAUGUUAUAACAAACAAACAAAAAGUAAAAUACAAAAAUAAAGACAACUAUUGGGUUGCCUCCAAAUAAGCGCUAUUGUUUUAUGCCCCUAGCUAGGCAUAUUGCAUAGUUUUAAGUGUUGUCAUCUUUGUUCAUAAGGGGUGCAAUCUCAUUUAUAACUUUGUUUUCCCUAGCACAAAGAAUAUCAAGCUUUUGUUCUAUGGUACCAAGCCUCCUAUUGUGUAGCAUGAUGUUUCCAUGGAUCUUAGAGAUAGAAUUGAACAAUCCCCUAAAACUAGACUCCAUACUAGUUCUAGCAUCUUUGAUUAGCUUAGUUUGGCAGUGGCACACUAGUAUAGCAGGUUCAAUGGUUUCUAUUUUAGGUCGCCCAAAUAUAUUUUUCAUCUUAUCAUAGGUGUCAAAAGCAUUGUUUCCAAGGAAAUAUUUUUUGAACAUAGAAUCCAGGACACGUCUAUGGGAAAGAGAUAGACCAACAUAAAAACUUCUAAGAAGCAAAUUAAUAUGACUCUUAGGAUUAGCUCUAGCUUGUAUUACUAGUAAUCUACCCCAAGCUUCUUUGAGUGACUCGUAACCUAGUUGCUUAAAAUCCAAGAUUGGGGAACACUCUCCAAAGUAAGGGGGAUGAUGCAUAUCUCGAGAGGAGGUAGCCAUGGCGUUAAACAACUAACUAGCAAAUAAAGAUAAAUUUUUUGUGUUUUUGAGACAAACUUAAUAUACCAGCAAAUAAAAAGGAGAUAAAGUGAAUGAAAAUUUGUGAUGAGUUACUUGGUAGUUGGUGUUGAUACUCCCCGACAACGGUGCCAGAAAUCCUUCCUGAUACUUGUGAUCUGCAUUGGGUUUUCCGUGAAGAGGAACAUAUUAUCGCAGCACAAUGUGGGUAAGUAUUUCCCUCAGUUAUGAAACCAAGAUUUAUCGAACCAUUAGGAAUAUCAACCAGAACCGUCUUCAGCGGCUGCAUACAAAAGAACAAACAACUUAUACCCAUCCCUUGGGCAUGCCCUCGUAGCUUGUGGGGCCCUCGUGUGUGUAAUGACCCAAGUGUAAAACCUUCCCUAUUUGGAAACCUUCCUAUGUGGGACCACCGCGUCUUUGAUAUGAGAGAGUCCGAUGCAUGUAUGAUUUCAUGUGUCCCUUAUUUUUCUUUCUUGCAUGCAUGCAUAGCAUAUCAUGUCAUGCCCUUGUCUUGUGUUGGAUGUGAUCUUGUGAUUUCAUGUGAUGAUGCACAUGUGAUGAUGUGGGGUGUAGUAGUGGCUUGUGAUGGGUUGUUAUUUUCAAUCCCUUCUCUCUCUAUUUAUGUCAAGUUCAAAUCCUACUUCUCCUAAGCUAAUUUAAAAAUGCCCUUUGUUUAGUUUAUAAUGUGGGGAUAUUGGUGUGCUAGAUUUGGGGUUUUGGUAUUUGUUCUAAAGGUGCAAUCAAAUCACAAAACAGAUAUUUAAUUGUUGUUUUGUAUUUAUUUAAGUUGCCCCAUAAAUUCCUUUUGUAUUUUAUUUAAAUAGGUUAGUUAUUUUCAGGUCCACGGGCAUUUUUGUUUUGAUUUUAUCUUCAAUAGUUAGCCCUGUGGGCCUUUUCCUUUCUAUGUAUUUAUUUUUUUAAAUAGGUAAUAGCUCAGGGAGUCUUUCUCUCUUAUGUGGCGCUUCAGUGGGCUUCCUCCCCCUGGUGGCCCAGUCUCUCCUCUCUCUCUCCCGCGCUAGCGCAGCCCAUAUGUCCCUGGCCCAAAACCCCUUCGCGACAGGAGCCCGCGCAACGUCCCUCUCCUUCCUCCUGUCGACGUCAGCCAUGGUACGACCAUAGCUCGACCUCCCGAUUCCCCAUUGCCCCGAUCCUGCGGCUCAAGCGCGUCCCCCAAGAUGAUUUAAGUCGCAGGAUCCCUCCUCCGAAGCUAGGGUUCCUCUCUCCUUCCCUCCAGCGCCGCCAUCUCCCUCCUUCUCUCUUUCUCCCCUCUGGUAAGCUCUGUAGCUAGGAACAGAGAAGGGCUCGUCGUUGAUCUCCUUUCUCCUGUCGUCUCCAACGCCGGCGGCCAUGUCCAGGGGCACGGGAAAGGUGCCCGCGCCCCAUUUUCGUCCUCGGUGAGGUCGAGGAGCGUCCUCACCGACGACCAGGAGCUCGCCGAUGCCGCGGUCCCGGUGCUCCUUCCCCUUCGUUCGGUUCUGCAGUUCAGGGACGCCUUCGUCGUCAUUCUUCUUCCCCUCCAACGGCUUCUCCUUCGUUCGGAUCCCCUCUUCCUUCCAUAAGGUGAGGAGCCUCUCCCCCUUCCUUCCUCCUCCUUGGAUCGGCUCGGAUCCAUCGUGUAGCUUGUCGUGCUUCUCUGUCAGUAGCAGAGUACAACAGGGCAUGUUAUCUGUUGUGCAGUAGGUAGAUGUGUGUGGUGUGUCUGUUAUGUGUGUGCUCGGGCAGAGCAGGAGUAGCAGGGGCCUCCUUACCCUUGUAGUGCAUCGUUGGGUAGGCUAGUGGUUCCCUUCGUGCGCGCGGCAGUGGAGAUCAGCCCCGGCGUCCUCCCUGUCGCCAACGUGCAGAGCAGGUGCUGGUGCCGUUGCUAGUAUGCCUAUAGUUAAAUCCCCUCUAUUCUAUUAGUAGCCGCGUCGUAGCCAAGUGGUAGUGUGUGUUGUUGCCUCAGCACCCUUUUAGUUUUUGAUUGGCUCGGCACAGUAGCCACCAGGGGAUACCUUACCCUGGUCGAUCCCCUCUCUCUGUCGAUAGCAUGGCCGUAGUGUGGUGGAUCAGGCUUUGUGGUUGGAACCAGAGGCCCUGGGUUCGAAUCCUAGGCCUGCCUCUUUUGUUUUUUCCUUUAUUCUUUUAUUUUUUACUUUUUUAUUAUAUUGCUACACCUUGUGCCUAAAUAAUAGGCAUGAAGGUGUGCAUCUUAUUUUUCUUUUCCUGUCUAGUACUUGUAGUGGUGUUGGUAACAUGUGUGAGUAUGGUGUAUGUGAGUAUAUGUGUGCAUGCAUGGUUGUAUGUAUGUGAGUGUGUGGGUAUGCUAGCUUGUGUAGUGUGUGUGUAGGUGCACAUAGUGUCUUGCUUAUGUGGAGUAGUGUGGUAUGAUUGUGUGCAUAUAUAUUGUGGUGUGUGUGUGCAACACACACACAUGAGUUUAACUCAUGUGGCACAAGUAGUUGUGCAUGUGUAUGUGAUAUGAUUCUCUUAUGCUUGUGUUACAUAUUUAGAGGACUUGCAUUUUGUGUUUUGAUCAAGAGCAUGUUGUAGUGUGGUGUAUUGGAGUAGAUGUUGUGUGUGAUCACCCCACCUUUGCAAGUCAAUUAUGCACCUUCACAUGACCACAUGUGAGUGGGCAUGAUGUCUUGUGUGUGUGGAUAGCUUGAUAGAUGAUCUUGGAUGAUGAUGUGCUAUGACACACAUACAUGGGGUCAAAACCCUCAUGUAACUUUUUGUUGUUGUUGCACAUGAACAAGUAGCUAUGUAGGGGUGGAUAUGGUGAUGUGCACAUGAGGUGAUGCACUAUUCACUAUGUAUGUUUCUAGUAGAUUUUGCUUCCUUGUUUGAGGUCACUUGCUCCAAGUAAGUGCAUAGAUGCUAUAUAUGAUUUUGGGGUAGAAUCUCCCAAGGAAUCCAUCGGUGAACUUAGUUUUGCCAUUGGAACACUUUCUGGAGAUGACAUAUUCAGAUUUGUUCUAAGUUUAGUCCUUGUUUCCAUGGAGUGUGAUGAGCCCAAGGGCAUGUUAUUUUGUUGUGGAAGUAGAGGGUGAUCCCCUCCAUAGCUUGUUGGUGUCAUUUCUUACUUAGGGUAUCUUUUGUGCAAGUUGUGCCUAGACAAAGUAGGCAUGUGGCUGAAAUUACGGAUUAGUGAAAAUCUGAGAUUUUCACAAAGUCUGAGAAUCUGUUUAUAUUUUUUUCUCCUGUAGAUGAGCUUGUGCAGGUCAAUGUGUUGUGAUCUAGCCUUAGCAUUCAACUGGAAAGUUGAAGCUGAUAUGUUUGUCUAGCACCUUGUAAAAUUUAAUUCCAUUUGGAGUCCUGUAGAUAUUGUUUUGGCUGCUGUCAAAAUGCUUCAGAGCAAAGACAGAUAGUUAGAAUCUGGAAUUUUCACUAAGUCCGUGAAAUCUGAUAAAUUUUGGGAAAGUUUGCAGCCUUGUAACUUUCGGAGUUUAAUUCCUUUGUGUGUGAUUCUUGCUUGUUCUUGUAGUACUCUUGGAUAGCUACAUCCACAUAUAUUAUUUGUCAUAUUUGGGUGGCUGUAGGUGCUUUGAAUGUAGCUCACAAAGUGCUAUGAUGUAGUUUAUGGCAGAUUGUAUAGUUUUGUCAUUUUGAUGUUUGUGAGUGCUUAGUUGAUGAUGUGGUGUUCUUCUUUGCUCCACCCCAUCCAUGUUGGUUUGUUUUAUGUCUUGGCAAGCUGGAAAUACCAGAGUUGUGCCAUUUGAGUGUGUGGUGGUGAAUUUGACACGUAGGGCUUCAUAUCUUGUUUCGUUGAUUCCCGUUGAUCUGUAGCUCCGAUUGUAAUGUUCUUUAUAUGCUUUUGAAUCGUUUUCUCGACAUGCAUCUGAUAAUGUCAUUCUCAUGCAUGUCAGGAUAGGUUAGGAUGCAGUUCUGGCCAGGAACAUGUAUUUACUCUUAUGCUUGUGCUAGUGAUAGAAAUAGUGAUGCAUGCUCAUAUUCAUCUCAUGCAUCAUGUGCUUGUUGCAUCUUGAGGUGCUGUUGUUCAUUGGAUGUUAUUCUUAUGUUGGGUAGCACCGGGAUCAGAGAACGAAUACGUGGAUUUGGGUGAGUACGUGCAGGACGAACAAGAACCAUUCCAAGCUGAGGAUAUCACAGGCAAGAUGAUAUGACCUUGAUUCCAUCUCUAGACUUGUUAUGCUAGAUUACGUUUCCUUUGCCAUAUUGCUUGCUGCCUACCACUGAAAUAAUUGCCUCCUGAUAUGCCAUGAAACCAAACACUUGUCCCUUCCUAGCAAACUUGAAUGGCUAAGUAGGCUUUGCUCAACUACUAAUGUUAGCGCUGCUAGAUGCAGGUGCUUUUCCUCAUGUGAUAACAUGAGAUUGAUAUCAUUAUCUUAAUUCUGUUAUUUAAUUAAUGCACAUAUAUACUUGGUAAAUAACGGAAGGCCUAGCCUUUUGCCGUGUGCUUUGUUCUGUUAUUGCCGCCAUAGUUACCGGCUAUCGGUGUUUGAUUCCAUAUUGAUCGCUCCUAACACGUUCGGGGUUGUUAUGGGGACCCCCUUGAUAAAUCACAUAUUGUUAAGACUUGUACGGCAGGACCCAACAUUGGUGUUAAUUUGCUAAUCACUUAAUAAUAAUCUGCAUAGGGAAUAGCUACCCCGAGGAAUUUAAUCAACAACUCGGGCCAGUGCUCCUCAUGAGUGUUGGUCCAAACUGGGCAGACUAUGGGGCCACCACAGGGCAACCCGAGGUUUGGUAUACCUGUAGUGUGACUCAUCCAUCGUGUCCUGAGACUGAGAUACGCGGCUCUUAUCAGGGUCCUCGACACGACGGGAGGUCCUGCUAGUCUUGCCUUACCUUAGCGAUAUAUCUUGCGUAUAGGAAUCCCACUGAAGCUUUGGUUCUCCCCAGAGUUGAGGUUUUCCUCUAAGGAAUCCAACGAGAUCACGAGAUUCGUGGUAGAGGAUUACUUUGCGGCCUGUGUACGUUUCUGAUGGACUAGUUGGAGCACCCCUGUAGGGUUUAAUCUUUCGGAAAGCCGUGCCUGCGGUUAUGUGGCAACUUGGAAUAUUUUGUUAACAUCCGGUAUUAGAUAACUUUAACAUAAGCUAAUAAAAUUGCCAACUGUGUGCGUAACCAUGACUGUCCCCUUCGAAGAUCGUUCUUCGAUCGGGAACACGGUGGGGUUAUGAUUGAUGUAGGUAGGUGUUCAGGAUCACUUAGUGAUCAUCUAUCUUCGACCGCUAGUAUAGACCACCUUCAUAUAUGUUCUACGUAAGAUAGCCACCAUAUCAAGCUUAGGAUGCUACAACCUAAAUACUCCACCUUACCAACCUAAUAACUUGACUAGAUCUGGCACUGAGGUCAUAGAUUGCUGAGUCCCCGUGGCUCAUAGAUUCCUUCACAACACCAACAGGUUCAGGUACCCCAGAGACAGGUGAUCCCGAUGGCACACAGCUGGCGUGGUAGUGUGACGAGGAGAACGACCGCCUCCACGUGAACUAUCCAGAAUAUUGAGGCGUGGUCGUGAUCGUGGGCCAGCAGGCAGGGUAGCAUAGCCAUUUUCCUUGUUUUGUAGUCCGUAGCGGAACCAUUUUGAUUGUAUGUGUGAUGUACUGUGAUAUAUUUAUGAGAUGGCAAUUGAAUCCCUUAUUGUCAUUCUGUUGAUAUUAUGUAUGUGCUAUGAUACCUUGUUGCGAGACGCUUAGAUGCGCUCCUUUCCAAUUCGGGGCCUCGAUCUCCAGAUCGGAAAGGACCGCAUCUUAGUCGUUACAAGUUGGUAAUCAGAGCCUUACGACCAUAGGAGCCUUUGUGUGAUCGUACUUGGCCGAGUCGAGUCUAGUAAAUUGUUUUGAGUCUUAGUUAUAUCGGAGAGUAGGAUUCUUUUUUCUCCUCUUCCAUGCUCUGGUGAGGUUCCCGUCUUAGGAAAUCUUUAUUCUACUCCUCUUCUCGCUCAAAAUGUUUUUUAGGAUCACGCGGGUAUUUGUGAAAUCUAUAUGAUUUCGAUGUGACGGAGUUCUGUCUUGGUGCCUCCUGUCUGCCUUGAUUUCUUCCGGGGAGUUGAGCUCCACAGGAUUCUUGCGCACAUCGCCAUCAUUCAGAUUUCUAAGUAUCUAAGAAUGAAGGAUGUUCGUUAUUGCUUCAAUACUGGUAGUGGCGAGGUAACCCCGAUGUCCCCAGUACUAGUGCAGAUUGUUCGGGAGUACUGCCAUACUUGGUAUCGUUGUGAUCCCGAGGGUCUGUUGUAGAUGAAGGUCUGAGAUGCUGGUUGUGUGUUGACGGAUGUGAUAUAGGUGACGAGUUAGUAUAGGAGUUGUGUGAUAUUACUCCUUGUAUCCGUGUACCAGAUUGCAUGACCAGUUAUUUCAGGAAUUCAUAGGUGGGAUAUCUAGUAGUAUCUUAUAGCACUAUCUUCCUACAGAUGCAUGAUGGAGGUUGGGAUUCGAUGUUCAGUGGGUGCGUUUGUUGACGGUCGUCUUACAACGGUUCUCGUUGUGUCUUAAAGAGUCCUUGUAGCUGGCUAUGAUCCGGGGAUACUUCGUAUGUCGUGUGCACUGCCUUGCACAUGAUGGCUACUGUAAAUUCGAGCCCGUGCGAUCUUAUCCACGAACAUAUCGGAUGAAAUCUCGAUCAUAUGUUUGUUCCGAGCAGUUCUAGCUCAUACUUGUUUGUAGUGGUCUUAAUCGGAAUUUUGUCCACCGUUACUUUGAGGAAGCAUUCUUACUAUUUUGUUCGAGUGCAAUUGCUUAUUCCUGUUCAGAUAUUCCUGUCUUUUGAUUCAACAAUAUCUUCAAUUUAUUCUGUGGGCUAAUAUGAUGUCCGUCUUCAGGAUGGCUCCACCAACUCGUCAGAACCCAGGGCGUGAGGAUAUGCGGCCUCCACCUCCUCCUCUGGAGAAUCCUCCGCCGCCGCCUCCUCCUGCAGAGGCCUGGCAAGCGAUGAUGGCUGCUACUAAUGCAAACACCCAGGUGCUGCCAUAGUUGUUGCAAGAGAGAGCCAAUCAGCAGCAAGGCAAUUUCCAGCAUGGUGGCAAUCAGUUUGCUAGUCUGAGUCAGUUCCUGUCCAUUAAGCCAAAGACUUUCACUUCCUGUGACCAGCCAUUUGAUGCAGAGGAUUGGAUUCGUGAUAUGAACAAGCAUUUCGAGUGUAGCAAUGUUCGUCCUGAGGAUUUUGUCAAAUUUGCAACAUUCCAGUUGAAGGGGCAGGCUUCCAUCUGGUGGCAACAGCUGAAGGACUCCAGAGGCGCUAGAGUGAUCACUUGGGAUGAGUUCUGCCAUGACUUCAGGCCGCACUACAUUCCUUCCAGCUUUGUGGAGGAGAUGCGUGAGAAGUUCAGGCGUUUGAAGCAGGAUGGCAAUUCGGUGUACAAGUACAACGUUGAGUUCCACGAGCUAGCCCGUUACGCGCUGCAGGAUAUCCCUGAUCAGAAGAGCAAGAUUUAUCAGUUCAGAGGUGGCUUGAAAGAAGAUUUGCAGUUAGCUCUUGCUUUGCACGAUCCUGAGGAGUUCGACAAGUUCUACAACCUAGCUCUCAGGGCAGAGGCAACCUUGCUCAUGGUGGAGAAUUCUAAGAAGCGCUUCAGAGAUUCCAGCUCUUCUUCGACUCAGGUGGUUCAGAAGCAACAAAAGUUUUGGGUGUCUCCUCCUCCUCCUCGGCAAUCGCAGCAGCUCAAGCACUUUGGUGGUCGUGGUUCUUCCCACCCACUCAAGCUUUGUACGAUCUUGUGAUGGCAAAGAAAUAAAAGCAACAUACUGCAUAAUAAAGUUUGCUAUCACAAGGGGCAAUAUAAAGUGACGUUCCUUUACAUUAAGAGUUUGCACAUAAAAAAACUAAAACGCACAUGACAACCCCUGCUUCCGUGUGCGAAGGGCCCUUUGAUGUCAAGACCGACUGGUCUCGAGUAGGGGGGCCCGAACUAUAGAUCUAGGGUCGGCGGCUAACAAGAGACAAACAAGCCGGUGUUUUACCCAGGUUUGGUCCCUCUUGAUGGAGGUAAANNNNNNNNNNNNNNNNNNNNNNNNNNNNNNNNNNNNNNNNNNNNNNNNNNNNNNNNNNNNNNNNNNNNNNNNNNNNNNNNNNNNNNNNNNNNNNNNNNNNNNNNNNNNNNNNNNNNNNNNNNNNNNNNNNNNNNNNNNNNNNNNCUCUUGAUGGAGGUAAACCCUACGUCCUCUCUUGUUGGUAUUGAUGGAGUAGUACAUAAUACAGAUUUGACCUACUCCGAGAUCGGAUGUUGUGGUAUAAACCCUAACCGCAAUGAGCUUAAUGUGUCCUACGAACUAUGGCCCUCUGUCUUUUAUAUAUUCUAGGGGUGCUAGGGUUACACAAGGUCGGUUACAACAAAUAUAGAAUAUGCCGAUUACUACAUCACCUUGGAUUGUACGCAGAGUCUUCGGAAGAGUCCCUCUUGAGCCCGAUACUUCUAGUAACGGUCCGACAUGCCUGGAAGUCUGGCCCAUGAGAAUAGGAAGAUGACUCGAGGACCCCCUAGUCCCGUACUCCCUCAGUAGCCCCCGAACCGACCUCCAAUGCCAAAACCUUCUUCCUUUGGUAACUUCAUAGGGACUUUGGCUUGCGAGGCGAGUUCGUCUCUUCCUUUAACCAAUGAUAGCUCGGCUACCGAUGACUUCCCCUCCUUCAAAUGUAUAGACAAAUAUAUAUAUAUAUAUCAAAUGUAUAGCGUCUUUCUUUAUUCAAAAGGUCGNCUACCGAUGACUUCCCCUCCUUCAAAUGUAUAGACAAAUAUAUAUAUAUAUUUCAAAUGUAUAGCGUCUUUCUUUAUUCAAAAGGUCGCGGUUGGUCAAGGCAUGUAGCUUUUUAUGAAAGAGCGAUUCGAAACUGUUUUACUGACACGUUCCGUCAUAGAGAUCAUGCCCCUCUUUUCGAGGGAUAUGGUUUAUGGUUUGGGUUUAUUCCACGCGCCCAUAAUUACAACAUUUUAUUGAGAAGUUGCGGAGUUCAUAGUGCAGUGGCGGGGGCCACGGGAUUNNNNNNNNNNNNNNNNNNNNNNNNNNNNNNNNNNNNNNNNNNNNNNNNNNNNNNNNNNNNNNNNNNNNNNNNNNNNNNNNNNNNNNNNNNNNNNNNNNNNNNNNNNNNNNNNNNNNNNNNNNNNNNNNNNNNNNNNNNNNNNNNNNNNNNNNCUACGGUAUUCUGGCGAGCCAUAAAAGGUAAAACCGUCACCUCAGUCCCUUCACACACCUCAAAUAUCACAACACUAUCGCCAUUCCCUACUCCCAAAGCUCCAACUCCUAUGCUUCCCUUCUCCUCCCAUCCUUUCGAAUCCCUUCAUAAAUACGACAAUGGCAAGUGCCGGUUCCAAGGUAAAGUGGGAGGCCUCCUCUGUCAUUGAGAAGGACAUUUUGGAGCUGAAGAGAUCUGGCUACCUUCCGAAGAACAUAGCCCAUUGCGCUCUGGAGAAGGACCAGGUCAUCCCCAGACCCAAGGAUGGGGAAAUAGUAGUUUCUAUUCCUCAUUUUAUUUGGGGCUUAAGUUUUCCCCUCCAUCCAUUCGUUCGGGGAGUCAUGCUCUACUAUGGGCUUGACUUCCACAACUUCCCCUCGAACUCCAUCACCCACCUCUCAGCCUUCAUCACCGUAUGUGAGGCAUUCUUGCAGGUCCAACCUUACUUCGGUCUCUGGCCAAAGGUUCUCAAUGUCAAGCCAAAAGUCGUCAACAACAAUCAGGCGGACUAGAAAGGGUCGAUGAUCACCAAGUUUAGCGAGGCCACAUGGACUAAGGGCACAUUCAUUGAUACCGUCAAUUCGUGGUAGAAGGAGUGGUUCUAUAUCACCGAGCCGCGCAACUCAGGCGAGGCAGCUCCUCCAGCAUUUAGAUCUGGCCCUCCCACCGGUCUCAUGUCUUGGACGGGAAAGGCCCUAGAUUGGGAGGAGGUUGCGGAGGUGAAGGAGCUCAGAAAGAAGAUCUCCAAUCUACUGGAGAAAACCGAGCUCGCCAAUGUAAUCCAGGUGAUGCUGCAUCGCCGCCUUCUCCCCUGCGAGCAUGGGCCCAUCCCAAUGUGGGACUUCAAUUCGGAGGAUCCAGAUAGUGCGGCCGGGCCUUGUCCUUCGAUUUUUCCGGACUACUCGCGAGAAGCUGUGGAAGGUGCUCUUUAAUCCACCAAAUACUUGGCCCACUGAGGAGGAAGACGAAGGCCUUUACCUCCUCAACCCUUUGGGGCCGGUAAGCUUUUUACCAUAUUUUUUAGAUUCCAUCCCUUCCUUUUUUCACAAUAUGCUUACUUCAUCCUUCCCCCAUGUUUGCAGAUCUGGCUGAAAUAUCCAAGGAGAUUAACUAUGUGGCACCUUUGCCUGAAGACGGCAUGACCCCACUGCUCGCGGCCAUGUUAGCCAAGAAGCCGUACACGGCUCCGAGGGAGAAUGAGGAGCAUAAGAAGGGUAAGAAGAAGAUUCGGGAGGGUCUUCGGUCGAAGGGUCCUCCUGACACUAAGUUCAAAGAGAUGUUGGCUCCCUCCAACUUGGAGGGAGAGAAAGAAGAGGAUGAGGAGGAGGUCAGUGACCUCCCAUACAAAGAAAAGAGCGGUGUCCCAAGAUGUCGAGGGAGAUCCAACUCUCGUUGUUCCAAAGAAGCAAUGUAGGCCCCCAUGGCCCUAUUUGAAGAUAUUCCAGACUUGACUGAGGAGUCUAAGGAUGAAGCACUGGUUCCCUGAAGUACCCUCAGGGUGAAACCCCGAGCAAAAAGGUAUUUGUUGAAAAUCCAAAUACAUCAUUUCUCUAGGUGUCGUGGUUCUAACUAGGCUCAUUUUACGUAUUGUAGCCCACAGUGUGACUUCCCUACCGAUCAUAUUUCGAAGGAGGAUUCCCUGCCAGCCUAUCUAGCUAAAAGCAGGACCAACUCGCCCCACACACGUACCCUCCAGCCAAGGAGACCGUGGAGGUGGCAUCUAGGGAGCCCCCCCCCCCCCGCGCUAGAGACUACGGUCGGGGGUGACAAUAUUAUGGCCGAGGUUAACACCUCGGCCACAAAGGACCAGGUGGAUGAAUUCCUCCUGGCGAGAAAGGAAGGAGAGUCCGAACCUUCUGGGUCCCCUCUGAAGAUAACUCCGGAGGUUCCUCCCUCUCCAACACUGUCAAUAGUAGUCUCUACGUGGAGGGAGACUACAAUGGGGCAUCCAAAUCCAUUCACAAUGGAGCAACUCCGAACUGGAUGGUCUAACUUAAGGGAGUAAGGUCUCAAUGAUCCUUUCAUUCCUACAGAAUGCUGCACUCAUCUGAGUGCGGUAUUGCAAAGCAUUAAGUCUGUUGACAACGGUGUGAAAGAAUAUUUCGGCAUGCUCCUGGCAGGCAUCAAGGUAAUACACAUAUUUUUUCCUUUAUAAUUAUACAUUGCCUAAAAGCAAUAUUAUGGUCAGUAGCCCCCGAGCCCAGUGUGAGUUAGAAAAACUCAUGCGGGGGUCACAAUAGUUCGAGUUUUUUUUUGCAUGUAGCCCCCAAGGCUCUGGUGGGUUGAUGAGAAACACAUUAGCAAAUGAUUUCGAAAAAAUCUAAAAACUUAUAAAAGUUUCCAAAAUGUUCUUCUGUAGGCUUCUACAUUAGCCACAACCCCCAACUCUCUGGAGUUGGGGGAAAUGAAUCGGAAACUAAAGGUUUCUGAAGAUGAGUUGGACCGCUUCAACAAGCGGUUUGAAGACGCUCAAAGUAACUGUGCAAGUCUUAGCUCUCUUAUUGAAUUUUUUGAUAUCUUUGUCUCUAAGUGUAUGUUGUGUGAAUGACUACCACAACUGUUGUUGCUGAUGUUGAUCAGCCUAAAGCUAAACUGGGCAAGGCCAAGCAAGAGGUCACCAAACAAAGGGCGGUGGUCGUACAUGCCAAAGCUGCUAGCGUUAAAUCCGAGGCCCGGGUUAGUGAAGUUCAGCAAGAGCUGAAGGAGGCAUCACAAAGAAUGAGUCCCUCGAGCAGAAAGACAAAGAAAAAACAUCCAAACUGACGUCGGUGACCACCUCAGUCCAAGAAGCACGGAAGGAGGCACAUGAUAUUCGGAAAGAGGUCCAUCAGAUCAAGCAGAUCGCAGAUGGUAAGCGAUAUUUAUUAUAAUGUACAUUUGGCGGACGAAGGUUUGCAUUGCAUACUCGAAUGUGGAGUUCUCCAGGUGCGAUUGUCCAUCUUCCGAAGAGUGCGGCAGAAGCUGGGAAGUACUAUGCUUCCCAGGAGGGCGCAGUGCAACAAAGACUGUUCUGGGCACAAUUCCAAAAUCUGGAGCAUCCUCAGCAUGUUUCCGAUCACUUGAAACAACUAAUGGAGCUGCACAAGAUGACUGAGCCGGCCAUGAAAGACUUGUGCAUCAGGCUAUGGCCGGCCGAGCCGCUACCGAGCAGUUACUUCGGCCUGGUGCAAAAGCUAAUUUCUCUCGCGCCUCAAAUCGAUGUCAUGAAGCGUUCAAUCUGCAUUGAGGGAGCUCGGAUGGCCAUUGCAAGGUAAACGAUGCACUAGCCGAAGGUAGAGCCUUUGAAGAUGGCCACCAUGCCUCCGCCGCCCGGGAAGGAGCACAGAUGCCCCGAACUAUAUUUAUCCCCUACCAUGGAAGGUGCCCGAUCUGUAGAAGCACAAUGGCUCCAAAGACUUAGUCUUUGAGUAAAAAAUCCUAUCAUGUAAAAGUGGUUGUAUAAUACAAUGGCCUUUGAUUUUUUUGCAGGGCAAACCAUGUAUUUUGAAGUGCAACUCUUGUUUUGGUUAUUUUGAUAUUGAAAUUUUCUAGUCGUCAGCUUGAGCCUCCCGCCAGAUACUAGCGGGGGUGUUUUCGACUUCCGCAUUGCUACCCUUAGCCAACAUAUUGGCACCCUAAGGCGAUAAUGUGGGAGAAAACCAGGUAAUCAGACUAUUCGGCUUUAAUGCUUUCAUUUAACCAUAAGAGCUUGACUAUGGGUGCUAAGUAGAACCCUUUGUGUAAAUUUUCAUAUUCGGCUUAUGCCAUGGUAUAAAAACAUGUAAUCACUUAGUAUGAAUGAUUUCAAACCUUUCACAGAACGCAAUGAACCCCCAGUAGUUCUUUAGUUUAACACUUGUCUUCGAGUCGCAGACCAGUUCUUGCUUUAUCGUGCCGGUCAAUUUUCGACUUUCUCCACUGUGGUACUUAACCAGACUAGCUAGAAAUACAAUCGAGUGGUUCUCCCUUUACCACUUUAGCCGAACUAGUGAAACGUAAAUGGGUAAACACAGGAGUGGGGCAACCCAACAUUUGACCAAAGACAUGAUUCGAAAUGCGUAUUAUGAAAAUCCAAGACUCCGCACAUGUGAAAUGCCAAAUAGUAUUGUAAUGAUUUGAAGGGGUGGUCGUGAUGGCCGAGCCCCCCGUAAAUUCACCCAAUAUCAAAGAUGUGCAUGAGAACAAGCUUGUAUAUGUGUUUAAAAAACAGUUCGAGAAAAUCAGGUGACAAGAGACAUUGCGAAGCUCGUAAAUCAUAAAGAGCAUUUCUUACUUCUGAAAAAAUUUGAAUCAUAUAAUUCGAACUCAACAAGCAGCUGUAUAUAUAGAGAUAGGAAUAAAAGUGUAUGGAGUAGAGGUUUACACAUGGUUUGGUAUAACUAGCUUGACGUUCCUAUAAACACCUGCUGCACAUCUGCGACUUCACUCUUUGGAGAAUAUUCCUUGAAAAGGAGACAACUUGAAUGAACAACUCUUUUUGAACAAUGGCGGUCUUGAGAAUCCGUCGAUGUAUGGGUUUGCUUAACGCAUAUAUCGGUCCUUGAUGGUACAUAUAUAUAUCUGAAGACUAUAUUAGCCAUGGUUCGGUCUACCCAAACAAUAAGAUGUAUAUUAUUAAUCCCCAUAGCUGCCCAUGGUAUCUUGAGCGCAAAGUUGUGUCUUCGAGGUACAUACUUUGCUCGAAACAAGGUGCUGCUAUGGGGAGCAUAUCCCUAUUUAGCUGCCGUGAUAUGUGGUUGUGGCGGGGUGCGAGCCCGUUUAUGCUCCUUUAUGGUUAACUUUGGCAUGGGAGUCAUAUCCCCGACCUGUACUUCGGCUGCCAAAGCCACAGUGUGUUCCUCAGUCCGGAGGGAUCGCUCGAUGUUACCAUUGACUGUAAUAACACCUAUAGGUCCUCGCAUGUUCUGCUUGAGGUAUUCAUAAUGGGGGAUGACAUUAAAGCAAGCGAACAUUGUACGAUCGAGGAGUGCAUGAUACCCGCUGCAGAAAGGGACAAUGUCGAAGAUCAAAUCUGCAUUACGAUAGUUGUCAGGUGAGCCGAACACUACCUCAAGGGUUAUUGUGCCUGAAUAGCGAGCCUCGACGCCAAGAAUUGCUCCUUUGAAUGUGGUUUUGGUGGGUUGGAUUCAUGAUGGAUCAAUGCCCAUUUUCCGCACUGUAUCCUCGUAGAUUAGAUUAAGGCUGACCUCCACCCAUGAGGACUCGUGUGAGAUGGUACCCGCCAAUGAUGGGAUCAAGUACUAGGGCCGUAGACCCCCCGUGCUGAAUACUGGUAGGGUGGUCCAUGCGAUCAUAGGUGAUCGGGCAUGCCGACCAUGCAUUGUACUUUGGGGCUAUUUGAUGUAACUCUAUCUUUUGAGGUGUGUUUGUUGGGAUCGAAUGAAUUGUGAGUUUAUGAUCGGAUCUAUGAAAUAAUAUCCAUUCUUAAUUAUUAUAGCCUCGUAUUUCUUCUCUGAUAUUUGGGUUUUUGUGUGGCCAACUUGAUCUUUUAUCUUGCAAUGGGAAGAGGUGCUUUGUGAUGGGUUCGAUCUUGUUGUGCUCAAUCUCACUGACAGAAAGAGACAUGCCACACAUGUAUCAUUGCUAUCAAGAAUAAAAUGAUGGGGUCUAUUCCUACAUGAAUAGAUAUUUUCUACACCAUGUCAUCAUUCUUAAGGCAUUACCCCGUUUCUUCAUGAACUCAGUACACUAGAUGCAUGCUCGAUAGCGGUCGAUGUGUGGAGUAAUAGAAGUAGAUGCAGGCAGAAGUCGGUCUACUUAUCAUGGAUGUGAUGCCUAUAUACAUCACCAUUGUCUUGAAUAUCAUCAUAAUUAUUUGCUAUUCUAUCAAUUUCCAACGGUAAUUUGUCUACCCAUCGUUUGCUAUUUUCUCGAGAGAAGCCACUAGUGAAACCUACGCCCCCGGGUCUAUUCUACAUCAUCUAUUUGCAAGAUCUAUUUUGCUAUUCGCGUUUCCAAUUUAUUUGCUCUUUUAGUUUCAGAUCUAUAUUAUCAAAAACCCAAAAAUACCUUGCUGCAAUUUAUUUUCCAUUAAUUUAUUUGCAUCUAUCAAUCUAUCCUUUUACAAUUUUAUUUUACCCGCGAGGGAUUGACAACCCCUACACGCGUUGCGUUGCGAGGAUUUGUUAUUUGUGUGCAUGUACCUCUUGCAUAGUCUUGUGGAUCUUCCUAGUGGAUUGAAACCUUGGUUUCAUAACUGAGGUAAAUACUUGCCAUCUCUAUGCCACAUCACCCUUUAAGCUUGGAGGGAGACCAACGCAAUCAGCGAGGAGUCAAGAUUUCUGGCGCCAUUGCCGGGGAAGAUCAAGUCAAGAUCUAUCAAGUUCCUACACAUAAACUCUCAUAUCCUUGCAAUUAUGUUCUUUUCCAGUUGCCUCUCAUUUUCCUCUCCCUCAAUUCACAAACAUUUUCCUUCCUCCCAUUUGCCUUUUUCUCGUUAGAUCUUUCGUUGCUUGUCAUCAUCAUGAGUGACUUUAGCGUGGCAGAAAAAUAAUGAUGGCAGGAAUCCUAAAAAUUGACGUUUUAGUAAUCUGGAUGCUAAAUUUUUUAUUUUGGGACAAGGGAUGUUAUGGGGAAAAGAAGUGAUCCAAGAAUUCUUUAAUUGUAUUGGAACUUUGACUUGUGAUAAUACUCCUAUACUUAAAAGAACCAAAACUCAUGCGGAAGCUAUGCCAACACUAGUUCUGAAACUAGAGAAUACAUUUAUCCGUACUCAUCCUACUUUGCAAAGAUUGUUUUAUGAACUACCUGUUAUCAAAAAUCCUAAAGCUAAGAAGAUAGCCACCCUUGUUCUUAUGAAUGAAUUUGAUCAUAUAGUGCAGGAAGCUUGGGAAAACUUUGAUUUUUAUGGUAUGGACCAUGAAAAGCCGAUAAUAAAUGAGAUCCUCUAUAAUAGUGAUUACGUUUUGAGACAUUUGCUGGGUAAUAAUCAAAUCCUUGAUGAUAGUCUUAAACAAUAUAUUCCCAUUUUAGAUAUGAUCCAACAAGUUUUCAACAAUGUUAAUCAAUAACAUUCUUGGUUUGUUGCCGAUAAUCAAAGGGGACAUGCAGAUGGGCAACUUGAUAAUGCUAAAAAUUUUAUGGAUAAUGUGUUUCAAGUUAUUUUUUGAAAGAUCUCCCAACAAGAAUGCAUCUAUGGAAACUAAAGAUGACAAUACUUGAAAUCGAUGUUUUUUGGGAAUAUACUUUUUGGAUCUUAAAACGAUAACGCUUAUUGGGAGGCAACUACUACUCUUGAGCUUGCGUUGUUUUUUCCCUUAAAGAGGAAAGGGUGAUGCAGCAAAGUAGAAAUAAGUAUUUCCCUCGGUUUGAGAACCAAGGUAUCAAUCGAGUAGGAGUAUCAAGAUGAGGUACCAAUGAACCUGCGCAAAAGCAAACAAACUUGCACCCAACGCGAUGAAGGGGUUGUUAAUCCCUUCACGAUUAAUUGCAAGGUGAGAUCUCAAGGUGAUAAAAGGAGAAAAGAAAUAAAAGUGCAACAAAGUAUUUUUGGUAUUUUUGUAUGCAGAUCUGCAUAUAUGAUGUGUAAAAUAGACCCGGGGGCCAUAGUGUUCACUAGAGGCUUCUGUGAUGAUAGCAUGUAUUACGGUGGGUGAACGAAUUAAUGUCGAGCAAUUGAUAGAAUCACUCAAAGUCAUGACGAUAUCUAAGGCAAUGAUCAUACAUAUAGGCAUCACGUCCGAGACAAGUAGACCGAUACUUUCUGCAUCUACUACUAUUACUCCACACAUCGACCGCUAUCCAGCAUGCAUCUAGUGUAUUAAGUUCAUAACAAACGGAGUAACGCCUUAAGCAAGAUGACAUGAUGUAGAGGGAUAAAUUCAUGCAAUAUGAUAUAAACUCCAUCUUUUUACCCUUGAUGGCAACAACACGAUGCGUGCCUCGCUACCCCUUCUGUCACCAGGUGAGGACACCACACGGUAUGAACCCAAAACCAAGCACUUCUCCCAUUGCAAGGAUUAUAGAUCAAGUUGGCCAGACGAAACUCAUAACUCGAAGAGAAUUACAAGGAUACGAAAUCAUGCAUAUAAGAAAUCAGAGGAGACUCAAAUAAUAUUUAUAGAUAAUCUGAUCAUAAAUCCACAAUUCAUCGGAUCUCGACAAACACACCGCAAAAGAAUGUUACAUCGAAUAGAUCUCCAUGAAGAUCAUGGAUAACUUUGUAUUGAAGAUCCAAGAGAGAGAAGAAGACAUCUAGCUACUAGAUAUGGACCUGAAGGUCUGUGGUGAACUACUCAUGCAUCAUCGGAGAGGCAAUGGUGUUGAUGAAGAAGCCCUCCGUGUCCGGAUCCCCCUCCGGCAGGGCACCAGAACGGUCCCCAUAUGGGAUCUUGCGGAGACAGAAGCUUGCGGCGGCGGAAAAGUAUUUUCGUGGAUCUCUUCUUUGGUUUUGGGAUUUUUGGGAAUUUAUAGGCGAAAGAGGUAGGGCAGAGGAGCCAUAGGGGGGCCACGAGCCUGCUAGGCGUGCUCCCCUAGGGCGUGCCUAGGGGGCUCGUGACCUCCCACGAGACCUCCUGCCUUGGUUCUCAAGUCCUCUUUCCAGCACAGUGGNNNNNNNNNNNNNNNNNNNNNNNNNNNNNNNNNNNNNNNNNNNNNNNNNNNNNNNNNNNNNNNNNNNNNNNNNNNNNNNNNNNNNNNNNNNNNNNNNNNNGAGGCGGAUCCACGGGGACGGGAGGCGGCGCGACUCCCGGCGGCAAGGGCGAGGCAGGGCUGCGGGAGCUCGGUGCCAUGGGCAGGAGCUCGGGGGAGCUCGCGGGGGCGGCGGAUCUGGGCCGGGACGGGCCGCGCGCGAGCCUAGCGGGCCGGCGACUGGAGGAGGGAGACAGGGAGCAGGUGGGGGGCGGCUAGGGUUUCGGGACGGCGCGGAUCCUGAGGUGGCUAGGGUUAGCUGCCUAAAAUUUAGGAGGGGGUCUAUAUAUAGACAAACGGGGGGCUCGGUUAACCAGAAUCGCGAUCCGGAUCCAACCGCGGGGUCGGUUUCGGACGUUUCCGCACGAGGGAAUGGGUACACGGCCGUGUAGAGGGAAUAUCCGGAGACGAGUGGGAGAACGGGCGGCGCGACACGAAUUUUACAACACCGACAGACGUCCGACGGUAGACCGAAUACGGUGCCGCUACGGUCGACCGUUCGGGUACCAGACGGUCUCCGAUCGCGACNNNNNNNNNNNNNNNNNNNNNNNNNNNNNNNNNNNNNNNNNNNNNNNNNNNNNNNNNNNNNNNNNNNNNNNNNNNNNNNNNNNNNNNNNNNNNNNNNNNNUCCAUGAGAACAUCACCCAAAACUUGAAAACUUCACAACACAAAACUUAAACAGAAACUCGUGAUAUCAUUAGCACAAGAAAACAAACUACCACCUCUUUAGGUACUGUAGCAAUCUUGAUUUCUAUUUAUAUUGGUGUUAGAUUACUGUAUUCUCACUUUUCCAUGGCUAGUACCCCCGAUACUAUCCAUAGUUUCAUCAAAACAAGCACUCAACACAACAAAAACAGAAUCUGUCAAAAACAGACCGGUGUGUAGCAAUAUGUAUACUUCGUAUACUUAUGGUACCUCAAAAAUUCUGAAAAAUUACUACUGCCUGGGGAAAAGGCAUAUCAACCAGAAGCAAAAAAGAACCAACUCAAAAGCUCUUUCUGAAUAAAAAUGACAAAUAAUCUCGUGAGCGAAAAGUUUCUGUCCUUUUCUAGCAGGAUCAAACAACCAUCACCAAGACUAGUCAUAAAGGUUUUGCUUGGCUCAAACACAAAAAGAAACACAAAAAACACAAUCAUAACAGAAUUAUGAUAGUGAGGACGCAACAAAACAAAAAUAAAAAAGAUAAAUUAUGAUUGUUUAACGCCCUUAGCUAGGCAUAAGGCGAUAGAAUCACGUGUCGUCGUCUUUGGUGCUCAAACCAUAAGUAGCCCUCAUCAUAGUUUCAUAAGGCAAUCUUAUUUUCUUUCUAGUAAAAUGCUCCAUUCCCUUCUUUAAAGGAAAUUUAAAUCUAAUAUUCCCUUCCUUCAUAUCGAUGAUAGCACCNNNNNNNNNNNNNNNNNNNNNNNNNNNNNNNNNNNNNNNNNNNNNNNNNNNNNNNNNNNNNNNNNNNNNNNNNNNNNNNNNNNNNNNNNNNNNNNNNNNNGAGCUUUAAGUUACGAGGAAAAUCCGCAUAGUUGCUCCCAUAAUCUUUCGUUUUGGUUUUCUCUAGGAACGCGUUGAAGUUCAAUGGGACAUUUGCGUUGGCCAUUGGAUCUACAAUAUUUGUAAAGACACUUUUAGACUAAGUUCAUGAUAAUUAAGUUCAUCUAAUCAAAUUACUAAUGAACUCCCACUUAGAUCGACAUCCCUCUAGUCAUCCAAGUGACACAUGAUCCACGUCGACUAGCCCGUGUCCGAUCAUCACGUGAGACGGAAUAGUCAUCAAUGAUGAGCAUCUCUAUGCUGAUCGUAUCAACCAUACGACUCAUGUUCGACCUUUCGGUCUCCCGUAUUCAAGGCCAUGUCUGUACAUGCUAAGCUCGUCGAGUCAACCUAAGUGUUCUGCGUGUGUAAACUGGCUUACACCCGUUAUAUGCGAACGUUAGAAUCUAUCACACCCGAUCAUCACGUGGUGCUUCGAGACAACGAUCCUUCGCAACGGUGCACACUUAGGGGAAUACGUUCUCGAAAUUUUAAGAGGGAUCAUCUUAUUAUGCUACCGUCGUUCUAAGCAAUAAGAUGUAAAACAUGAUAAACAUCACAAUGCAAUCAUAUAGUGACAUGAUAUGNNNNNNNNNNNNNNNNNNNNNNNNNNNNNNNNNNNNNNNNNNNNNNNNNNNNNNNNNNNNNNNNNNNNNNNNNNNNNNNNNNNNNNNNNNNNNNNNNNNNUUGUGUCCUAAGACGAUACCUUCAUUAACCAUAAAGUGGCACUUCUCCCAAUUCAAGACGAGGUUGGUUUCUUCGCAUCUCUGUAAGACUCGAUCAAGGUUGCUAAGGCAAUCAACAAAGGAAGACCCGUAAACGGAGAAGUCAUCCAUGAAAACCUCGACAAUCUUUUCACAAAAGUCAGAGAAUAUAGCCAUCAUACAUCUUUGGAAGGUGGCAGGUGCAUUACAUAAGCCAAAAGGCAUACGUCUAUAGGCAAAGGUACCGAAAGGGCAGGUGAAAGUGGUUUUCUCUUGAUCAGAUUGUGCAACAGGUAUUUGCGAGAAACCUGAAUAACCGUCUAGAAAGCAGAAGUGUGUGUGUUUUGAUAGCCUUUCUAGCAUUUGGUCGAUGAACGGCAAAGGAUAAUGAUCUUUCUUGGUUGCCUUGUUCAGUUUCCGAAAGUCUAUCACCAUCCUGUAGCCAGUAAUAAUCCUUUGUGGGAUUAGUUCAUCCUUAUCAUUAGGAACGACGGUGAUACCUCCCUUCUUAGGUACGCAAUGUACUGGACUUACCCAAUCACUAUGAGCAANNNNNNNNNNNNNNNNNNNNNNNNNNNNNNNNNNNNNNNNNNNNNNNNNNNNNNNNNNNNNNNNNNNNNNNNNNNNNNNNNNNNNNNNNNNNNNNNNNNNGAAUUCUUGCUUCUUUCUCAUAUCAUUCCUCAUCGCUUUGCAACCUUCAAGGAUCGUUGCUUUCACUCGUUUGUCAAAGAAGCAAUUAAGUUUUACCUCCUGCUUUCUCAUCCUCUCCCCCUUUCAUUCUUGGAUCUCGGGGCGAGAUCCUCUUGUAGUGUAGGAGAGUUGUGACAGCCCGAUGCCGACUUUCCAGAAGAUUCCCCUUUCUUUCCGUUUUCGUCGUGUGUCUAUUUUCUUUUGUCGCAUCAUCAUCGCAUCAUGCGCAUCAUCAGCAUUGCAUCGGCGUUCCGUUGCCGCCAGUUUUCAAACUUUCAUCCGUUGUUAGUUGCCGGUUCUCGUCGUUGUUCGUUCUGAGCCCGACCUCACACGCACGCGCCGCGGCAUCGUCAAACCCUGUUUUAAAAGCGUGUUGAAAACUUUCUAUGAUUGGGUUGAGAUUUGACGUGCGGUGUUAUUUUAAUAUAGGUAGGCCGCCUGUCAAGUUUCGUCGCGAUCGGAGUUCGUUUGGUACCCGAACGGUCGACCGUAGCGGCACCGUAUUCGGUCUACCGUCGGACGGUUGUCGGUGCUUUAAAAAUCGUUGCCGCUUCGCCCGUUUCCCCUCUCGACUCCGGAUAUCUACACUACAUGGCCACUUACCCGUUCCCGCAUGCGGAAUCGUCCGAAUCCGACCACACGGUUGGAUCCGGAACGAAAUUCCGGUUAACCUAGCCCCAUCUUCUCUAUAUAUAGACCCCCUACUAUUAUUUUUGGACAGCAACCCCCGUGUCUUGUGAAUCGCGCCCACCUACCCCGAAACCCUAAUUCUCCCACAGCCACUCUCUCCUCCCCGCCGCAGCAGCCCAGAUCAGGCCCGCCCCGGGCCGAAGCGGGCCCCGAAGGCCCGAACCGCCGCCGCCGCCUCCCCGUGCUCCCGGAGCUCCGUCCAGCCUCCUCCUCCCGAGCACCUCGCCGCCAAGAGCCCUCACCGCCGCCUCGGUUCCGCGGCCCGCGCCGCGCCUCCUGCCUCAACGCCGCCGGCGACCCCGCAGCCUGUCGGGGCCAGCCACCACAGCAUCCUACGGCUUGCCCGCCUCACUACCUGCCAACCAUGGCCGAGCUGCAAGGGGCGGUGCCGCCUGCCCUCGCCUCGCCCCGCCGCCUUGUUUUCCUUCGUCGCAGCCCCGCCGACGGCCAGAUCUGGUCCCCGCCGUCCCCGCGCGCCGUCCCUCGACCGGUGCUGCGCUAUCCUCCGCCAGCCGUCGCCCCUGGAGCCGACAACCGCCGCCAUGGCCUCUCGGCCUCGCUCCCAAGUGGAGACGACCGUGCACAGCGGCUACGUGCCCUCUCGCCCCCGUGGGCCGGCCUGGCCAGGCGAGGCCCACCUCACUCCCUCGACCCACGGAGGGGUUCCACCGUUUAGCCCAGGCGCUCUCCACCGACCAGGCCGAGGCCUGCUAAGGUGAGCUGCCCCCGAGCCCUCUAAUUUUUCGCCCAUGCUCUGUAUAACUAUGUUGCGCAUGCUCUUCAGCCCAUUAGUAUAUUAGGUUAUUUUUGGAAAUAAUAAAUUCCAAAAAAUAGAUGAAUUUUAGAUCGUCCGUAGAUUAAUAUCCGUAUAUCGGAUCGCGACAUGUAGCAUAUGGAUUUCGUGUAUUUUUACGCGUAGAAUCCGAUUUCACAACUUGCAUAUUUGUUUGACGUUGUUUAGCAUGCCGUAUGCAUAGAUUUACGUGCCGUCUCAAUAGGAUAGUGCCCGUAUUUAUUUCUCGUGCGUGUCCGGAUUGCUCGUAUGUCGUAGUAGAAAUGUUCAUGUUUUAGGAACACCUUUUUCAUGUAUUUUAGAGUGGUCAUUUGUAUUUUUGCGUGUAGAGAAUUGCCGCUAGUUUAUUUUUUUUGUGUCUAGGUUAUUAUCUCGCAUUUACGUGUGGUAUUAUUUUUAUUGUGCAACCCUACAUAUUUUAUAUGUUAGCUUUUGAGUAAGUUAGUUCGCGCGAUAUUUUGCUAUGUUGCCCUCUUGUCUUUUUCGUAGGAUUUAUUUCGUGCUUCGUUUGAUUAAGUUGUCAACUAGAGAGUUGAUCUUUGAUGUUUAGUCUAGCCCGUGGUAUUUUUGAUUGCAAUAGAAAUGCAUGUUUAGGUGUGGUUUGCUCGAUCUCAAGUUGCUAGAAAUAGUGCUGAUUUGGAGGUGCUGAAAUAUUUCUAAGUCUGAGAUCUGUUAUAUUUUGUUGUUGUCUUGUCUUGCUUCUAUCUUGUGAUCUGUAGCUCUUUUGAGGUUGGUCCAAUGGAGUUAGUUGUAUACCUUGUGAUUCUCUAGCAUGUGAUGAAUUUUCAUGCCAUUUGGAGCCCUGUAGCUUAUGGUUUUGCUACUGUCAAUAUGGCUUCAGAUCGAAAACUGCACUUUCAUGAGGUGUAAUUUUCACUAAGUCUGAAAUAGUGUGUGGGAUGCUAUUUUGUGACUUCUUUUCCUAGUGGUCCAUGAUGCCAUGCUAGUUGUUGUUAGUUGUUUGUUGUAGUGCUUCUUGCCCUCUUUCGUGUCAUGCCUUGGUUGAUUAUAUUGGAGUUGAGUAGCUCGUAGUUGUGGGGUGUAGAAAAUGCUGUGUGGCUGAUUUUGGCAGAUUGUAGUGAUUUCUUGGUUUGCUCGUAGCUUUUGAUCCGUAGCUCCGUUUUGAUCGUGUCCUAUAUGAAACUUGCUUAGAAUCUUGUGUAGUUUCAUUUUCUUCUGCUGGUUGUAUGUUUUGAAGUGCUCGUGACCGUCGUUGCACACAUAUUGCAUUCAUGCCAUCAUAUCUUGCGGUGCUUGUAUCUUUUGUUCCGUAGCUCCGUUGGAGAUGUUCUUUAUGUGUAAAUUGCUUGUAAUGAUGCGUAGAAUCUCGUGUACCUAUUUAUUUUGCUGUUUAACAACUAAUUAAAUGUGUUAGUUCAGAUCUGGACAGAAUUGUAAAUUAACAUGUGAGGUCGUCUCGGAGGUGCUAUAUGUCAUUUCCGACCUCAUUUAAAUGCCUAGAUAGGUAGUUUAAUUACGCUUCACGUCCUGCCAUAUUUAACAACAUUUAAUAGUGUCGAGUAUCUAAUCGGGAUGAACUAAAUAAAUAAACAUGGAGUUUCGUCAAUAUGCAACUCGUGGCAUAUUGAACUUCACUUAAUGUGUAGUGUUUGUUUGUGUGAUUUGCCAUGCCGUGACUUGCAUGUAUUCAGCUGCACAUGCAUCAUAUGUGUUGUGCACCGUGUGGUGAAUUUCGUGUGUUGAUUAGUGUUUCCAGUUUGCUUCGUCUCGAUAGAGUUCCGCAUCAUGCCGCAUUGUGAGGACCCGUUCGACUACGUCGGUUCGUCUGCUUCACGGAGUCAUUCUUCUUCCAAGCGGGAUCUCAGGCAAGAUGACCAUUUCCCCAGAUACCAUUACUAUCAUUGCCAUGCUAGUUAUUUCGAUGCUAUCGAUUAUGUCUCGUUGCCUACCACAUGUUGAAUACCAGCCUCUCAACAAUGCCAUGAUAACCUUCAACCUGUUCGACCUAGCAAACCACUGAUUGGCUAUGUUACUGCUUGCCUAACCAUGUUGUUAGCGUUGCUAGUUGCAGGUGUAGUUGCUUCCAUGUGAAAGCAUGGGUUCCUUGUUAUAUCACCAUAUUAAUUGCUAUUUAAUUUAAUGCACCUAUAUACUUGGUAAAAGGUGGAAGGCUCGGCCUUUCUAGCCUGGUGUUUUGUUCCACCUUUUCCCCCUUAGUUUCGGCUACCGGUGUUAUGUUCCAUAAAUGAGCGCUCCUAACACGAUCGGGGUUGUUAUGGGGACCCCCUCAAUAAUUCGUUUUAGAUUGAAGCUGGUCUGGAAGGCCCAACUUUGGUACUACAUUUUCCUAAUAACCUAAUAAUAAUGCAUAGGGACCCGCCGACACACGCGGAGUAAUUUAAUCAACCCCCGGGCCAGUGCUCCUCAUGAGUGUUGGUCCCACCUGAGCGAUGUCCGGUGCCCCUCUGGUCACCCAGAGGUUUAGUGAUCCCGACGUCUAGCUCAUCCGUCGUAUCCAGAGAACGAGAUACCCGGCUCCUAUCGGGAUCAUCGACACGUCGGGCGGCCUUGCUGGAUUAGUUUUACCUUUGACGAAAUAUCUUGUGCAUCAGGAUUCCGGUGAUGCUUUGGGUAAUCUCAGAGUUGAGGUUUUCCACUAGGGAAUCCGAUGAGAUCGCGAGCUUCGUGAUUGAGGAUUUCUAUGCGGCUUGUGGUAAUUUGUGAUGGACUAGUUGGAGCACCCCUUCAGGGUUAAAUCUUUCGGAAAGCCGUGCCCGCGGUUAUAUGGCAACGUGGAAACUUUGUUUAACACUGGUUCUAGAUAACUUGAAGAUAAUUAAUUAAAAUAUGCCAACUGUGUGCGUAACCGUGACUGUCUCGUUCGUAAGUUCCUUCUCCAAUCGAGGACACGGUGGGGUUAUGUCUGACGUAGGUAGGUGUUCAGGAUCAUUCUAUUUGUUCAUUAGUAGUUCACGUCCGUUAUGCGUAGAUCUUCCCCCUCUUAUUUCUUGUACUCGUAAGUUUAGACACCAAAUAUAUGCUUAGCCGCUGCUGCAACCUCACCAAUUAAUCAUGCCUCAUCCAUUAAGCUUUGCUAGUCUUGAUACCCUUGGAAAUGAGAUUGCUGAGUCCCCUGUGGCUCACAGAUUACUACAACACCAGUUGCAGGUACAUGUAAAGAUUACUUGACGCGAGCCGUUGAUUGUUCAUUUGGAGUUGCUUCUUCUUCUUCUUCUUCAUCGAUCUAGGAUGGGUUCCAGGCCGGCAGCCUGGGAUAGCAAGGAUGGACGUCGUUCUUCUUUUCUCGUUUGUUUUCGUCCGUAGUCGGACCCUGCUCUUCUUCAUGAUGAUUAUGUAUUGUACUGAUGUGACUCUGAUGUAGCUUGUGGCGAGUGUAAGCCAAUUCUAUAUAUCUCUUCUUUUCAGUACAUGUACUUGUAACGAUAUCCAUUCUUGCGACACGACGAGAUGCGCUUCUAUCCCUGACGAGGCCCUCGUGCCAAAUUGAGGAUAGGGUCGCAUAUUGGGCUUGACAAGGAAGAAGAGGGACGAGGAGAAGGCCGCGCGGCGAGGGAAAGAGGCGAGGCCCAGGUGGAGAGGGAGGGAGCCGGCCCACCUGGGCUUGCUCUUGCGCCUGGUUAAAAACAGGAAAAAAACAAAAGGGUUUUCCUUUUUAAAAUAAAUAAACACAAACUAAAUCCUCAGAGGGACACAUGGUUUUUGAAAAAGGAAGACAAAACCAAAUAGGGCAUAAGGGAUUUAUGCCCUAUCUAAAUAAAAUACAAACCAGAUUUUUAGAGCAAUUAAAUUAUACACAAAACAGGAAUUAUAAUGAUGUUUUUAUUAAAGAACCCAUGGACCAAAAGCCUAAUGCUUAAAUGAGAGUUGCCUUCUCAACCACAAGAAAUUCCUCUAAAAGAAUAACAUUUUUAAAAUAGGUACAAACAAAGUCUAACACACAAGUUAAUAACAUAAGGGGGAAGGUUUUAACAUAGUUUGAAAAGCAUCAUAGUUUGAAAGCAUGAUUUGGUAACCUUGUUUGAAAACACCACAACAUCCCCCACCCAAAGCAAGCUAUCACUACCAUGAUGGGCCAACUCCUAGCAAACAAGAAGGAACACAAUGCAAUUGAAAAGGAUGCCAUGAUGCAAGAUGAUGACAUGAAAUGAAGCCACAUGAAAUGAUAAACUUUAUAACAUCCAAAACAUGGUUUCACAAAAUAGGAAAGGAUCCAUAUAUGGAAAGGAUUACAUCUGGGCUGUUACAAACUCUCCCACACUACAAGAAGAUCUCGACCCGAGAUCUAGGACUGAAAGAACUCUAGAAAUUCGGAACAGAGGUGAUCCUCGCAUUCCCAAGUGGCCUCUUUAUCGGAAUGAUGUGACCAUUGCACCUUGAGAAACUUGAUUGACUUAUUGCGGGUCUUGCGCUCAGUCGCCUCAAGAACUGCAACUGGAUGCUCACGGUAGGAUAGGUCGGGUUGAAGGUCGAUAUCCUGAAGAUCAACUGUGCGCUUGGGAGUCUUGAAGCAUCUCCGGAGCUGAGAGACGUGAAACACGUGAGGCACAUUUGAGAAGUUUGAAGGGAGCUCUAAUUGAUAUGCAAGGUCGCCUCUCUUGCCAAGAAUUCUGAAAGGCCCAACAAAACGAGGAGCAAGCUUUCCUUUGAUGCCGAAAAGCUGAGUGUCCUUCAUAGGAGACACUUUGAGAUAGACGAAGUCAUCGAGCUGAUAAGCCAUGUCACGAUGCUUGCUAUCGUAGUAGCUCUUCUGAUGGGACUGCGCUGCUUUGAUAUUAUCCCGAAUGACACGACACAUUUCUUCUGCUUCAGUAAUCAUGUCAUUCCCAAGAAUCUGACGCUCACCAGUCUCUGACCAAUUGAGCGGGGUACGUCACUUCCUGCCAUAGAGAAUUUCGAACACAGCUUUACCUGAACUUGCCUGAUAGCUGUUGUUAUAUGAAAACUCAACAAAGGGUAGGCAGUCUUCCCACUUCAUGCCAAAGGAAAUGACACAGGCUCUUAGCAUAUCCUUGAGGACCUCAUUGACUCUCUCAACUUUCCCACUAGUCUGAGGAUCGAAGGCUGUACUGAAUCGAAUCUUAGUACCCAUCACAGACUGAAAUGAAUCCCAGAACUUGGAAGUAAAGAUGCUUCCUCGAUUCGAAGAAAUCAACAUUGGAACACCAUGCAAUGAUACUACCCUUGACGUAUACAGCUCUGCAAGCCGAGCUGCCGAGAUAGACUCCUUGACUGGAAGGAAAUGAGCGACUUUGCUCAACUUGUCGAUGACGACAAAGAUGGCAUCUUUACCUUUCUUGGACUUCGAAAACCCGGUGACGAAAUCCAUCUCAACAUGCUCAAACUUCCACUCGGGAAUGUGCAAGGGAUGCAAAAGACCUGCUGGACGUUGAUGCUCUGCUUUCACCCUUCGACAUACAUCACAUUCAUUUACGAACUGAGCAAUCUCACACUUCAUGUGAGUCCACCAGAAGGUGUGUUUCAGAUCCUGAUACAUCUUGGAACUUCCUGGAUGUAUAGAGAGAAGAGAGUUACGAUCUUCUUCCAUGAUAACCUUUCUGAGAUCCCCUUUCGGAACGACAAGGCGAUCCUCAAAGAACAAUGUAUCUCUGGCAUCAACAGUGAAGCACUUAUAUUUGGGAACUCCCUUUGCCAAGCCAAUCUUAACUUUCUUCACCAUUGCAUCAAGAAGUUGAGCUUGUCGGACUUGGUCUUCCAAGGUAGGAGAAAUCUGAAGAUUAGCAAGAAAUCCCCGAGGAACUAACUGAAGGUUGAGCUUUUUGAAAGAUUCACAAAGAUCAGGCCGAAGAGGCUUCAGAAUGAGACUGUUGCAGUAAGCCUUCCCGCUCAAAGCAUCUGCGACGACAUUAGCUUUGCCUGGAGUGUACUCAAUGCUCGGAUUAAAAUCUUGGAGCAUUUCCACCCAACGAGUUUGCCAAAGAUUAAGGUUAGGCUGGGUGAAGAUGUAUUUGAGACUCUUGUGAUCGGUGAAUACUUCAACCUUUCUUUCCAACAAGAGGUGUCUCCAAGUCAUCACAACAUGUACCACUGCCGCCAACUCAAGAUCAUGAGUGGGGUAAUUCUUCUCACUUGGCUUUAACUGCCUCGAGGUAUAAGCUACUACUUUCUUGUCUUGCAUCGGAACUGCAGCUAGGCCUUGAAGAGAGGCAUCGCAGAACACUUGAUAAGGUUUGGAAUCAUCAGGAUGAACCAAGACUGGAGUAGAAGUGAGCUUCUCCUUUAGUGUGUCGAAAGCCAACUGACACUCUGGAGACCAAACAUACUUCACACCCUUCUGAAGAAGACUUGAGAGAGGCUUAGCAAUCUUGGAGAAAUUCUCAACGAAUCUUCUGCAAUAGCUUGCAAGCCCGAGAAAGCUUCAAAGCUGCUUCACAUUUUGCGGAGGUUCCCACUCAACAAUGGCGUGCACCUUCGACGGAUCAACCUUUAUGCCCUCAGCAGAGAUGAUGUGCCCAAGGUAGACAACUUCCUUCAACCAGAACUCACAUUUGGAAAACUUAGCAUAGAACUUAUGCUCUCUUAGCUUAUCAAGCACAAGCCUGAGAUGUUCUUCAUGCACUUCCUCAGUUUCCGAAAAGACCAGAAUAUCAUCAAGGUACAACAAGACAAAUUCAUUCUUGAACGGGGAGAAGAUAUAAUUCAUUAUCCGACAGAAGGUCAGUGGAGCAUUGGCCAGACCGAAAGACAUCACCGUGUACUCAUACGAGCCAAAGCUUGUUCUGAAAGCAGUCUUUGGAAUGUCCUCUUCGCGAAUGCGAAUCUGAUGAUAACCCAUCCUGAGAUCAAGCUUCGAGAAGAUCUUAGCCCCUUUCAAUUUCUCAAACAACUCAUUGAUGUUGGGAAGUGGAUACUUGUUUUUGAUCGUCUUCUUAUUCAAUGGACGGUAAUCGACACAGAGUCGUUCCGUACCAUCCUUCUUCUUGACGAAAAGAACUCCACAGCCCCAAGGAGAUGAGCUUGGUCUGAUCAGACCCAGAUGCUAUUGCUCAUCAAGUUGUUUCUUCAGCUCCUUCAGCUCUUCUCGACCAAGUUUGUAUGGCCGCUUACACACAGGCUCAGUACCCGGUUCAAGCUCAAUUACAAACUCAACUGCUCGGUGCGGAGGCAUUCCUGGCAGUUCUUCCGGAAAAACAUCUUCAUACUUGCAGACCACUGGGACUUGCGAAAUUGGAGAGAUCUCACCCUUCUCAUUCAAGGAAAACAGACGGACAGUGUCAUCACGCGCUAGGAAGAUAAUCACGUCCUCUCAAGAGUGAGUUAGCUUCACUUCUUUAGCUUCACAAUCAAUAGACGCCUUGUUCAUAGCCAACCAAUCCAUUCCAAGGAUCAAAUCAAUAUCAGAGUUGCCAAGGAUAAUAGGAGAAGCUAGAAAGGCAUAAUUACCCAUCUUGACAGGGACACCCGGAACGAACCCAUUCGAUGUCAUUUGCAUUCCCAGAGAAAUGAUUUUUAUUGGCCUAGGAGUGUCUUCUGUCACGAAAUCAUGCUUUGCAACAAAAAGCCUUGAAAUGAAUGAAUGCGAUGCACCAGAAUCAAAUAAAACCUUUCCAGGAAUAUCAUUAACGAGGAGAUUACCCAUAAUCACGUGUGAGGAGUUGUCUGCUUCAGCUGCAUUCACCAUAUUGACUCUCGCAGUCCCGGGGUUGAACUUUAGCAUAGCAUUGCUUGGACGCUUCCGUGGAGGAGGGGCGGAAGACGCAGCUGAGAGGUGCACUUGUUGGAGUAGUGACCCUUCUGCCCACACUUGUGACAAGUAACAUCUGACAGGGGACAGAACUGCACCUAAGGAUUCCCUUGCUUCUGCUGCUGAAACCUCUGCUGGAAAUCUGGGUUGGGUGGGUGGGAAGAACCACAACCACACGACUUCUUGAACCGCUGAGUCUGCCGAGGAGGAGGAUACACCCAUUAUUUCUGCUGCUUCUGGACCACCUGAGUUGAGGGCGACGAACUGGAAUCUCUGAAACGCUUCCUCGAAUUCUCCACUCUGAGCAAAGCUGCCUCAGCCCUGAGAGCCAAGUUAUAGAACUUAUCAAACUCAUCGGGAUCGUGCAAGGCAAGGGCCAGCUGCAAGUCCUCUCUCAGACCACCUCUAAACUGAUAGAUCUUGCUCUUUUGAUCUGGAAUGUCCUGCAAGGCAUAUCGAGCCAGCUCAUGGAACUCGACGCUGUACUUGUACAUAGAGGAACCACCUUGCUUCAAGCGUCUGAACUUCUCACGCAUCUUUUCCACAAAGCUAGACGGGAUAUAGUGAGACCUGAAAUCUCUACAGAAAUCGUCCCAACUGAUCAUUCUGCCUCCCCUGGAGUCCUUCAACUGCUGCCACCAAACGGUUGCCUGUCCCUUGAGCUGAAACGUUGCAAACUUGACGAAGUCCUCUGGACGGACAUUGCUGCACUCAAAGUGUUUGAUCAUGUCCCGAAUCCAGUCCUCAACGUCGAACGGCUGGUCACAAGACGUGAAGGACCUCGGCUGGUUCGCCGGGAAUUGAUUCACAGAUGCAAACUGAUGAGCACCAUGGUUGAAAUUGCCCUGCUGCUGAUUGGUCCUCUCUUGCAACAGCUGGAUUAACAUCUGGGUCUUAGCAUUUGUUGGAGCCAUCACCGCUUGCCAAGCCUCUGCAGGAGGAGGAGGCGGCGGAGGAGGCGGUGGUGGAGCAUCAGCACNNNNNNNNNNNNNNNNNNNNNNNNNNNNNNNNNNNNNNNNNNNNNNNNNNNNNNNNNNNNNNNNNNNNNNNNNNNNNNNNNNNNNNNNNNNNNNNNNNNNNNNNNNNNNNNNNNNNNNNNNNNNNNNNNNNNNNNNNNNNNNNNNNNNNNNNNNNNNNNNNNNNNNNNNNNNNNNNNNNNNNNNNNNNNNNNNNNNNNNNNNNNNNNNNNNNNNNNNNNNNAGCAUCAGCACCCUCGCAACCCAGAUUCUGACGAGUUGGUGGAGCCGUCCUGAAGACGGACAACACAUUAUCCAAGAGAAUAACAUUCAAGGUAAAGCUGAAUCAAUAGGCAGAAAUAUCUGAACAAGAUUAUUUAGCAAUUGCACUCGAACAAAAUAGUAAGAAUGCUUCCUCAAAGUGACUGUCGACAACAUUUGAUUAAAGACCACUUGCAAACCAAGUAUGAGCUAGAACUGCUCGAAACAAACGUGUGAUAGAGAUUCCAUCCGAUAUCUUCGUGGAUAUGAUCCCACAGGCUCGAAUUUACAGUAGCCAUCCUGUGCAAGGCAGUGCACACGACUUACGAAGCGUCCCCGAGUCGUAGCAAGAUACAAGGACUCUUUAAGACACAACGAGAACCGCUAUAAGACGAUCGUGAACAAACGUACCCACUGAAUGUCGAAUCCCAACCUCGCAUCAUGCAUAUGUAGGAAGAUUGUCCUAUAAGUCACUACCUGAUAUCCCACCUAUGAAUUCCCGAAAUAUCUGGUCAUGCAAUCUGGUACACGGAUACAAGGACUAACAUGUCACACAACUCCUAUACUAACCCAUCCAGUGUAUCACAUCCUUCAACACAUAACAAGAAUCUCAGACUGUCAUCUCACACAGAUCCUCGUAAUCACAACGAUACAAAGUGUGGCGAUACAUCCGGAACUCUCUGCACCAGUACUGGGGAAGCCGGACUCCUCUCGUCACUACUAGUGUUGAAGCAAUUACGAAGAUCCUCCGUCCCAGAUACCAAGAAAUCUGAAUGAUGGCGAUGUGCACAAGAAUCCCUCAGAGCUCAACUCCCCGGAAGAAAUCAAGUCAGACAGGAGGCACCAAGACAGAACUCCAUCAUAUCGAUAUCAUAUAGAUUUCCACAAUAUCCGCGUGAUCCUAAAUUUUUUUUUGAGCGAGAAGAGGGGUAGAAUUAAAAUUUCCUAAGUCGAGAACCUCACUAGAGCAUAGAAGAGGAGAAAAAGAAACGUACCCUCUGAUAUAACUAAGACUCAAAUAGUUUUACUAGACUCGACUCGGCCAAGUUCGAUCACACAAAGGCUCCUAUGGUCGUAAGGCUCUGAUUACCAACUUGUAACGACUAAGAUGUGGCCCUUUCCUAUUUUGGGGGCGAGGCCUCAAAAGGGAAAGGGGCGCAUCUAAACGUUUCGCAAGCGAGAUAAUCAUAACAUUACAUAACUGAAAGAGUGACAAGUAGGGCAUACACUUGCCAUCUGAUAAGAGUAUAGCAUUAAGCUUACAGACACACAUUAUUCAGAGCAUAGUUUAGUCCCGCUACAAACAACAUGCUGGCCCCACCAUCACGACCACGGCCUCAGUCCUCCGGAUAGUUCACGUACAGACGGCCAGAGUCCUCAUCGAACUCCCACUUCAGCUGGUUGUCAUCAGGAUCUCCUACGUCGGGCGUACCUGUACCUAUUGGUUUUUGUAGUAAUAUGUGAGCCACGAGGACUCAGCAAUCGAAUGACCUUGGUAUCGAAUCUAGCCAAGUUAUUGGGUGAGGAAGGUUAAGUGUUUGGGUUUGCAGCAACCUAAUGAUAUAUGGUAGCUACCUUACGAUGAUCAGAGUAACCAUAUCUACGCGAGCGAUCGAAGACUCGGUUGAUCACUAAGUGAUCCUGAACACCUACUUACGUCAAACAUAACCCCACCAUGUUCUCGAUAGGAGAGCAACCUCCGAAGGAGAAAGUCACGGUUACGCACACAGUUGGCAGUUUUAUUAGAGUUACUUCAAGUCGUCUAGAACCGGAUGUUAACAAAAUAUCCACAUUUGCCACAUAACCGCGGGCACGACUUUCCAAAAGAUUAAACCCUGCAGGGGUGCUCCAAGUAGUCCGUCACAAACUGUCACGGGCCACAAAGUAAUUUUCUAUCACGAAACUCGUGAUCUCGUCAGAUUCCUUAGAGGAAAACCUCAACUUUGAGGAGACCCAAAGUUUUAUCGGAAUCCCUAUACGCAAGAUAUAUCGCUAAGGUAAGACAAAUCUGGCAAGAUCUCCCGACGUGUCGACGACCCCGAUAAGAGCCGCGUAUCUCAGUCUCAGGACACGUCGGAUAAGCUACGCGCACGGGGCCUGAUAGAAAUCACUCAAGUUGCCCUGAGUUGGCCCCGCACAUUGCUCUAGUUUGGACCAACACUCGUGAGGAGCACUCGUCCGGGUUGUUGAUUAAAUCCUCGGGGUAGCUAUUCCCUAUGCAAAUUAUUAUUAAGUUGUUAGCAGAUUAAAACCAAUGUUGGGUCGUGCCAGGCAAGCCUUAACACUACACGAUUUAUCAAGGGGGUCCCCAUAACAACCCCGAACGUGUUAGGAGUGAUCAGUUAUGGAAUCAAACACCGGUAGCCGAAACUAAGGCGGCAACAACGGAACAGAUCACCCGGCAAAAGGCUAGGCCUUCCGUUAUUUACCAAGUAUAUAGGUGCAUUAAUUAAAUAGCAGUUUAAACAUAAUGAUAUCAAAAUACCCAUGUUAUCACAUGGAACAACUGGCACCUCCAACUAGCAAAGCUACUCAUUAGGGGUUAAGCAAGCCUACUUAGCCAAACAACAUUUGCUAGGAGAAGGAAGUGGUUGGGGUUCAUGGCAAAGACAGGUGGCAUUUAUAUCAAUUGGUAGGCAGCAAGCAAGUAACGGAGGAAACGUGAUUCUAAGCAUAACAAAGCUAGAUACGGUGUCAAGGUCACGGUCAUCUUGCCUGUGAUGUCUUCAGCUUGGAACUGCUCUUGAUCUUCCUGCACGUACUCUCCAGAAUCCACGUACUCGCUCUCCGUUCGUGAUGCUACCCAAGAUAAGAUAACAUCCAAUGAACACCGGAAAGACAUAAUGCAACAAUCAAUAUGAUGCAUGUGUGAAGAAGGAUGCAUGCAUCGCUAUUCUAGUCACUUUCAUAUGCAUUAGUUGAGUUAAUUGAAUUCUGGACAGAACUUCAUAUUAAGUUAUCUUGACAUGCAUGAAUAUGGCAUGAGCAUGUGCAUCACGAGAAAAUGAUGAAAAAACAUAUAAAAAACGUAGAGAACAGAGUCACGGAUCAACCGGAAACUACAAAACAAGUUCAAAGGCCUACGAGUUAAAACAGCCACAAACACACUCUAAUGGGCACUCCCUGGUGUAUACAGGUUGCCACAUGAUCAAGCAACAAAAUAUAAGUGGGUUGGUUCAUGGGAGCACACCACACCAUCAACAAUGCCCAUACAAGCUUCAAAACAAUACAAACAUACAAUCUGUUUUCAACAGCAACAUAGCAGUUUGUCUACAAGAUUUAAAGUAGCUACAACCUUCUAAAUAAAUCACACAAGGCAUGAAACUGAAGCCAUCCAAAAGCUCUACAACCCUGUACAAGAAGCUAAUGCAAAGGAACCACCCAUGAGCAGAUCUAUAGACACUAACUUGGACAAAAUAUCACAGUUUUUGGGACUUAGUGAAAAUCACAGAUUUCCACCAGCUGCUUAUGCUCUGAAGCAUUUUGGCAGCCUCCAAAAUGAUAUCUACAGGUGGUGUAUAAGCAUGAAAUUUGAGAGGGAUCUACACAAACAUAAAAGCUCACAAACAUUAGUUUGUUGCAUGGGCUAAUUACCAACACGGGAGCUAAUUCACACAAGACAACAGGGGAAGAAAAUAACUCCAGAAUCCCAGACUUUGUGAAAAUCAUAGGGUUUCACAAAUCUGACAUUUUCAGCCAAGGGUCCACUUUGACAAGACACAAUAGGUGCAUACAAAUCCCUAAGAACAAAAGAACGGCCCCAUACUGUAGAGGGGUUCACCCACUACCAUUCCAUCAAGGAAUCAUCCACAAAGGGCAAAAGCACCACCUAAUGUAAAGCCCUAAACAUGUCAUCAUAUCAGAAAAUAAGAGGUUUAUGAAGUUGCUGCAAAGUGAAAUUGGACUGCACCAUUGGAUUCCUGGGAUGAUUCUACCCCAAAAUCAUAUGUCAUACAUGCGUACUUGCAUAUAAAACAAUUCACAAAGCUAGCUUGAAAAAUGCCACAUAGAAUCCUAUAAGCUACAAAUAACUAUCAUCACAUGUGGAAGCUAUCACAUAUUGCAUCACCUACACAUGCACAUACACUAGGACAAGAGCAAGCUAUCUGGGCAUAGCAUGGACUCACUACACACAAACAUAGAGAAAUGUGGUCAUCCACACACACAUGUGCAACACAGACACAUGCACAUGUAAAUGUGGACUCCCACCACACACAUCUACACCUACACACACACAAGGGAUUACUCACCCACAUACACACAUAGAAGAGCCACACAACACCUUACAUGUGUAGUUGCAAACAUGUAUAUGUUUGUGCACACUUGCACAAGUGUGUGUGUGCAAACACAUACACACAUACACACACAACUCCACCUACACACUAUCUACACACACAUGCACUACACUCUAGUGCAAUCAUGGGAGAAGAAAUAAAACAUCAAGCACAUCCCCUAGCAGUAAAAGGAAACAACACAAAAAUAUGACAACAAAAGAAAAAAUAUGAAAUCAAGAAAAAUAAAAGGGGAGGGUGUGGGGAUCGAACCCACAACCCCCCUGGUGCAACCACAGGCACACACCACUGGGCUACGGCAUCGGUGCUUACCAAAGAGACGGCUUCAGGCUAGGUAACCCCUCUCUCGCGCUUGCGCUGCAACUCGCGAAAUAAAAUAAAAAGAAAGGGCGCCCGAGGGGAUUCGAACCCGCAACGCACGCGCAAGCGCCCGACUCCGUUGCCACUGCGCCACGGUAAGUGAUCUUAACAAAGAGGGGGUGGUGCUCUUUUGAGAAGCCCCUCUGCUCCUGCACCUACUACGGCGGCAGCCGGAACAGGGGAAGACGGCGAUGAGGCUACAGGUGCUCAUCGACGGGGGUGGCUACUGACGAGGGAUGCGGGGACCUAGGGGAACUCGUUCCCGUGCUUAACUCCAUGGGAGGGAUCCCGCAACAGCGGCUCGACGGAGCGACAAUUCUCCUCCACGGCAGCGACGACAACAGCGACACCUACGCUACGACGACCCUACGGGGAAGUGGAGAGGGGAAGGCGACAUUGAUGGCUCACCCUGGGCGCUGACAAGGGGAGGAGCGGCUCAAUGAAGAGGAAGAAGCGGCAAGGCGACGACGACGCUCUGCUCCGCUCCGUGCAAGACGACGACGGCGAGGAGGGGCCAACAGAGGAGGGGAUCCACCCUCCUAGCGCCAGGAUUGGAUCGAGGGAGGAUCCAGCAUCCUCCCUGCGCGCUUGGAUUUGACGGGGACGCACCAGCGACGAGGGGAGGGACGACGACGACGACGGCGCCCUCUCUCCGAACUCCUCUCUCUAUGAAACCUUACCUGUAGAGGGGGAAUAAGGAGGGAGAAGGAGGUGGUGCUACUACAACAAAAGACCUUCCAACGGCGCCCGAAACACGUGCUGAUGGGAGACUGUUCUUGUCUUGAUUCUCCUCAGCAACGGCACCAGGAAUCCUUCUGCUACGGCUACGCCUUUAGGGACUUCCUAGGCAAAUAUGCAAAGGAUUUCCCUAUGGCCUUGGAGCCUUGCGUUGGUGUUCCCUCGAAGCGGAAAGGGUGAUGUAGCGCAGUGGUGGUAAGUAUUUCCCUCAGUUUUGAGAACCAAGGUAUCGAUCUAGUGAAGGAGUAUCACAAGUACCUGCACAAACACAAAGAACCUGCUCCCAACGCUAUGAAGGGGUUGUCAAUCCCUUAUAGAUUGUUCGCAAAGUGAGAACUGAAAGCAACAAAGUAACAAAGCAAAGUAAGAGCGGAGGUGUAAACGAUAGAUGUGAAUAGACCCGGGGGCCAUAGUGUUUACUAGUGGCUUCUCUCAUGAAAGAAAGUAGACGGUGGGUGAACAAAUUACUGUCGAGCAAUUGAUAGAACCGCGCAAAGUCGUGACGAUAUCUAUGGCAAUGAUUAUAUCUAUAGGCAUCACGUCCAAAACAAGUAGACCGAUACUUUCUGCAUCUACUACUAUUACUCCACACGUCGACCGCUAUCCAGCAUGCAUCUAGUGUAUUAAGUCCAAAAGAACAGAGUAACGCCUUAAGCAAGAUGACAUGAUGUAGAUGGACAAUCUCAUAUCAACGACAGAGCCCACCUUGUUACCCUUGAUGGCAACUACUCAAUGUGUGCCUUGCUGCCCCUACUGUCACUGGGAAAGGUCACCACAUGGUAAGAACCCAAAACCAAGCACUUCUCCCAUUGCAAGAAUCAUAGAUCUAGUUGGCCAAACAAAACCCAAGACUCGGAGAGACUUACAAGGAUAUCAAAUCAUGCAUAUAGGAAAUCAGCAAAGACUCAAAUAUAUAUCAUAGAUAAUCUGAUCACAAAUCCACAAUUCAUCGGAUCUCGACAAACACACCGCCAAAGAAGAUUACAUCGGAUAGAUCUCCAUGAAGAUCAUGGAGAACUUUGUAUUGAAGAUCCAGGAGAGAGAAGAAGCCAUCUAGCUACUAACUACGGACCCGUAGGUCUGAAGUGAACUACUCACGAGUCAUUGGAGGGGCGAUGAUGAUGAUGAAGAAGCCCUCCAACUCCAAAGUCCCCUCCGGCAGGGCGCUGGGAAGGGUCUCCAGAUGAGAUCUCGCGGAAACGGAAGCUUGCGGCGGCGGAAAAGUACUUUCAAGGCUCCCCUCAUUUUUUUCUGAUUUUUAGGGAAUAUAUAGGUGCAAGAUAUAGGUCAGGGGGAGCCACGGAGGCCACAAGCCCUGCCACUGUCGCCUCCCCCUGGUGGCGGAGUGGGGGCUUGUGGGCUCCCUGUAGCCCUACAGGCUUGGCCCACAAGCCCCCUGAGGUCCUUCCGUUCGGGAAAAAAUCAUUUCGGAGAGUUUAUUCCGUUUGGACUCCGUUCCCAAAUCAAAUCUGAAAAGAGCCAAAAACAUAGAAAAAACAGGAACUCGCACUUGGCACUGAAUUAAUAAGUUAGUCCCAAAAAAGAUAUAAAAGUUACAUAAAACAUCCAAAGAUGACAAGAUAACAGCGCGAAACCAUAAAAAAUUAUAGAUACGUUUGAGACGUAACAGGUGGCGACGGGGAGAGGGAACCCUAUAGGGGCACGCACGUCGAGGGGUGGUUAAAUAGGCGACGGGAUGACGGCCUCGACGUCCGUGAUGCCACCGUGGCGAGCUCUCUCUCUCACACGACUUUGAUGGAAAGCGAACAGAUGGGGGGAACGGCGUCAAAGGAGGAAGAAGAGGGAUGGGGAUAAGGCCGCGCGGCGAGGGAAAAAUGCGAGGCCCAGGUGGAGAGGGAGGGAGCCGGCCCACCUAGGCUUGCUCUUGUGCCUGGUUAAAAGCAGGAAAAAACAAAAGGGUUUUCUUUUUUAAAAUAAAUAAACACAAACUAAGUCCUCAGAGCCACACAGGGUUUUUGAAAAGGAAGACAAAACCAAAUAGGGCAUGAGGGAUUUAUGCCCUAUCUAAAUAAAAUACAAACCAGAUUUUUAGAGCAAUUAAAUUAUACACAAAACAUGAAUUAUAAUGCUUUAUUUAUUAAAAAACCCAUGGACCAAAAGCCUAAUGCUACAAUGAGAGUUGCCUUCUUAACCACAAGAAGUUCCUCUAAAAGAAUAACAUUUUUAAAAUAGGUACAAACAAAGUCUAACACACAAGUUAAUAACAAAAGGGGGGGGAAGGUUUUAACAUAGUUUGAAAAGCAUCAUAGUUUGAAAGCAUUGUUUGAUAACCUUGUUUGAAAACACCACAACAUCCCCCACCCAAAGCAAGCUAUCACUACCAUGAUGGGCCAACUCCUAGCAACACAAGAAGGAACACAAUGCAAUUGAAAAGGAUGCCAUGAUGCAAGAUGAUGACAUGAAAUGAAGCCACAUGAAAUGAUAAACUUUAUAACAUCCAAAACACGGUUCCACAAAAUAGGAAAGGAUCCAAAUAUGGAAAGGAUUGCAUCUGGGCUGUUACACGGCGGCCGUAGCCGGCAACAAAAAACACGGGUGCCAAGUGCUCAAUUGAAUGCCAACAAUGUAAAAAUAACACCCCGCAUCACGUUGGUAUUCGAUAGAGAUUGUUCGUGAUCGGUAGUGAUUGUUUAUUGUGCUUACUUUGACAUUGUAGAGCAGAGAUGAACGCGACGAAUUUCUCGCAUCAUUGGAGUCCCCGUCCACCGUUGGCCUUAACUAUCUCAACUAUGAUGACCCGUUUUAGGAUCAUUCGGCACCCAAGACAUGGAGGAUGCCGAGGAGGAGGUCCAAGAGGUGGUUGUCGAGGAGGAGGUGGUGGAGGUGACCGAAGCAAGCAUCAAGGCCUCGAGGACCUGCACGCAAAAGUACAACCAAAAGGAGGACAUUGCCCUUUGCAACGUUUGGUGUCCAUCUCCAUGGAUGCAACAAUUGGAACGGAUCAAACCAAGACCAUUUUUUGAAAGAGGAUCACCGACUACUACAACACCUUUGUAGAUGUGUGAUCGAGCCAUACACAAGGUUCGCUUGGGCAUCGUUGGAGCACCAUCCAUGAUCAAUGCAACCAAUGGUCCAGUUGCAUCGACUAAGUGAACCAUGCUCCACCGAUUGGUGUGCAAAUGGCGGAGUAUGGCCCCUACAUCCAAGAGCUAUUCAAGCAUCGGGACACCAAGUUCAGCCACAAGCCCUUCACUUUGCAUCAUUGCUACAAAGAGCUAUGCAACAAUGAGAAGUGGAUCCAAAGAAUUGUGGAGACCACUCUAAAGAGUUUAAGAUUGAGGAUAUCCAUUAAGGACGACGAUGAGGUUGAUAAGAUGCCAAGAAUAGACCGGAAGGAAACAAGAUUGCAAAAGAAAGAAAGAAGAGGAAUGCAUUCAGUGGUGCUACGGCAACAAAAGUGCUUUCCCGGCAAUGGUGCCAGAAAUCCUUCUGUCGUCUCUUGAGCUUGCGUUGGUUUUUCCCUUGAAGAGGAAANNNNNNNNNNNNNNNNNNNNNNNNNNNNNNNNNNNNNNNNNNNNNNNNNNNNNNNNNNNNNNNNNNNNNNNNNNNNNNNNNNNNNNNNNNNNNNNNNNNNNNNNNNNNNNNNNNNNNNNNNAUGAUGUAGAGGGAUAAUCUCAAACCAAUGAUGAUAAUCCCAUCUUUUUACCCUUGAUGGCAACAACACGAUGCGUGCCUCGCUACCCCUUCUGUCACUUGGUGAGGUCACCGCACAGUAUGAACCCAAAACCAAGAACUUCUCCCAUUGCAAGAAUCAUAGAUCUAGUUGGCCAAACAAAACCCACAACUCGAAGAGAAUUACAAGGAUAUGAAAUCAUGCAUAAGAGAGAUCAGAAGAAACUCAAAUAAGAUUCAUAGAUAAUCUCAUCAUAAAUCGACAAUUCAUCGGAUCUCGACAAACACACCGCAAAAGAAGAUUACAUCGGAUAGAUCUCCAUGAAGAUCAUGGAGAACUUUGUAUUGAAGAUCCAAGAGAGAGAAGAAGCCAUCUAGCUACUAGCUAUGGACCCGUAUGUCUAUGGUGAACUACUCACGCAUCAUCGGAGAGGUCAUGGUGUUUAUGAAGAAGCCUUCCAUAUCCGAAUCCCCCCUCCGGCAGGGCACCAAAACGUGCCCUAGAUGGGAUCUUGCGGAGACAAAAGCUUGCGGCGGCGGAAAAGUACUUUCGAUGAUCUGAUUUUUUCUGGAAUUUUAGGGAAUAUAUAGGCGCAAAACCUAGGGCAGGGGAGGCUCAGGGAGCCCACAAGCGAGGGAGGCGUGGGCUCCCUGGCCAUGCCAUGAGGGCUUGUGGGGUCCCUGGUUGCCCCCUGCCCUGAUUCGCCGGCUUCCUGAUCUUUUUCUGUUUCGGAAAAAAUCUUUUUGGCAGUUUCAUUCCGUUUGGACUCCGUUCAAAACCCUCCUCUGAAAGGGGUCAAAAACAUGGGAAAAAACAGGAACUGACACUUGGCACUGAGUUAAUAAGUUAGUCCCAAAAAUAUAUAAAAGGCAUGCAAAACAUCCAAAGUUUGAGAGAUAAUAGCAUGAAACCAUAAAAAAUUAUAGAUACGUUGGAGACGGAUCAAGCAUCCCCAAGCUUAACUCCUGCUCGUCCUCGAGUAGGGAAGUGAUAAAGACUGAAUUUUUGAUGUGGAAUGCUACCUAGCAUAGUUGUCCUUUGCAACUUCUUUCACGUGACAUGAAUGCUCAGAUCCGUAAGAUUCGAAACAAUAGUUUUCUAUUGACAUGAAAACAAUAAUACUUCAAGCAAACUAGCAAGGUAAUCAUGAACUUUCAAAAUAACAAGUCCAAGGAAAGUUAUCCCUACAAAAUCAUAUAGUCUGGCUAAGCUCCAUCAUCCUCACACAACUAAUUUAAAUCAUGCAUUACCCCAGUAUUGGCCAAGUAAUUGUUUUUGCACUCUUACUUUGUCAAACCUUUUACAACUAUCACGCAAUACAUGAGCGUGAGCCAUGUUUAUAACACUAUGGGUGGAAUAGAGUGUGGUGGUGGUUGUGAGACAAAAAGGAGGAGAUGGUCACAUUGACUCGGCAUAUCAAAGGGCUAUGGAGAUGCCCAUUAAUAGAUAUCAAUGUGAAUGAGUAGGGAUUGCCAUACAAGGGAUGCACUAGAGCUAUAAGUAUGUGAAAGCUCAAAGGGAAAACUAGUGGGUGUGCAUCCAACUUGCUUGCUCACGAAGACCUAGGACAAUUUUGAGGAAGCCCAUCAUUGGAAUAUACAAGCCAAGUUAUAUAAUGAAGAUUCCCACUAGCAUAUGGUAGUGACAAAGCAGGAAGCUCUCAAUCAUGAAGAACGUGGUGCUAUUGUGAAGCACAAGUGUGGAAAAAGAUAGUAGCAUUGUCCCUUCUCUCUUUUUCUCUAUUUUUAUUUUAUUUUAUUUGGGCUCUUGGGCCUAUUUUUUAUUUUCUCUUUUUAUAUAUGGGAUCUUUGGCCUUUUUUUUAUUUCCUCACACGGGACAAUGCUCUAAUAAUGAUGAUCAUCACACUUUUAUUUACUCACAGCUCAAAGCUCAAAAUGAUGAUGACUCUGUAGGAAAUGCCUCCGGCAGUGUACCAGGAUGUGCAACGAUCUAGCUUGGCGUAUGACAUUGAAACAUCUCGCUAGCUUUCUUACAAUCAUGCAAUGGCAAUAUGAGAGUGACGACACAAGUCAUGAGACGGAACGGUGGGAGUUGCAUGGCAAUAUAUCUCGGAAUGGCUAUGAAAAUGCCAUAGUAGGUAGGUAUGGUGGCUGUUUUGAGGAAGGCAUAUGGUGGGUUUGUGCACCGGCAAGAAUUGCGCGGCACUAGAGAGGCUAGCAAUGGUGGAAGGUGAAAGUGCAUCUAUACCAUGGACUCACAUUAGUCAUGAAGAACUCACAUACUUGUUGCUAAAGUUUUUAUUAGUAAUCGAAACAAAGUGCUAAACGCAUACUCCUAGGGGAAGGGUUGGUAGGUGUUAACCAUCGCGUGAUCCCGACCUCAACACAAAGGAUGACAAUCAAUAGAUCAAUUAUUCUCCGACUUCCUAACAUAGCGGUUCACCAUAAGUGCAUGCUACGGGAAUCACUAACUUCAACACAAGUAUCUCUAGAUUCACAACACCCUACUAACAUAACUCUUAAUAUUACCAAAUCCACGUCUCAAAACUAACUGAGAGGAAUCAAGACUUCUCUUUCUACUCAAUGCACAUGAAGAUGGAGGUUUUUUGUAUCCUCUAUGGGUACCUAUCACCUUUGGGACUAAUUUCAUAGCAUAAGCCAACUACCAAGUCACGCACCGCUGUGCUCUAAAAGACAUAAGUGAAGCACAUAGAGCGAAAUUAUCUAGAUCAAAAGAUAUAAGUGAAGCACUAUGAGCAUUCUAGCAAAAUCACGAUGAGUGCAUGUCUCUCUAUCUCAAAAAAGUGUGCAGCAAGGAUGAUUGUGACACAACAAAAAGAAAAGACUCCUACGAUACAAGACGCUUGCUGCUGGCUACGCCUAUAGGGAUUUCCUUGGCAAAUAUGCAAAGGAUUCCCCCGUGGCCUUGGAACCUUGCGUUGGUGUUCCCUUGAAGAGGAAAGGGUGAUGUAGCACAGCGGCGGUAAGUCUUUCCCUCAGUUUGAGAACCAAGGUAUCAAUCCAGUAGGAGGAUCGCUUCAAGUCAUAAAGUACGUGCACAAAUACAAAGAGCUUGCACCCAACGCUAUGAAGGGGUUGUCAAUCCCUUAUAGAUUGUUUGCAAAGUGAGAACUGAAAGCAAAAAGUAAACAAAGCAAAGUAAAAGUAAUGGUGGAGACGAUAGUUGUGAAUAGACCCGGGGGCCGUAGUGUCCACUAGUGGCUUCUCUCAUGAAAGCAAAUAGAUGGUGGGUGAACGAAUUACUGUCGAGCAAUUGAUAGAACAACGCAAAGUCAUGACGUUAUCUAUGGCAAUGAUCAUACAUAUAGGCAUCACGUCCAAAACAAGUAGACCGAUACUUUCUGCAUCUACUACUAUUACUCCACACGUCGACCGCUAUCCAGCAUGCAUCUAGUGUAUUGAGUUCAUAAGAACAGAGUAAUGCCUUAAGCAAGAUGACAUGAUGUAGAUGGACAAUCUCAAAUCUAUGAUGAAAGCCCAUCUUGUUAUCCUUGAUGGCAACAACAUGAUGCGUGCCUUGCUGCCCCUUCUAUAACUGGGAAAGGUCACCGCACGGUAUGAACCGAAAACCAAGCACUUCUCCCAUUGCAAGAAUCAUAGAUCUAGUUGGCCAAACAAAAUCCAAGACUCGGAGAGACUUACAAGGAUAUAAAAUCAUGCAUAUAAGAAAUCAGCAAAGACUCAAAUAUAAUUCAUAGAUAAUCUGAUCACAAAUCCACAAUUCAUCGGAUCUCGACAAACACACUGCCAAAGAGGAUUACAUCAGAUAGAUCUCCAUGAAGAUCAUGGAGAACUUUGUAUUGACGAUCCAAGAGAGAGAAGAAGCCAUCUAGCUACUAACUACGGACCCGUAGGUCUGAAGUAGACUACUUACGAGUCAUUGGAGAGACAAUGAUGUUGAUGUAGAAGCCCUCCAGCUCCAAAGUCCCCUCCGGCAGGGCACCGGGAAGGGUCUCCAGAUGAGAUCUCGCGGAAACGGAAGCUUGCGGCGGCGGAAAAGUGGUUUCGUGGAUGCCCUAAUUUUUUGCUGGGAUUUUAGGGAAUAUAUAGGCCAAAGAGCUAGGGCAGGGGAGCUCCAGGGAGGCCACAAGCCUGGUGGCCGCGGGCCCCCCUGGCUGCCGCCACAGGGCUUGUGGGCUCCCUGUGGGCCUCCUGCCUUGGCCCUCAAGUCCCCCGAUCUUCUACCGUUCUGGAAAAAUUCAUUUCGGGAAUUUUAUUCCGUUUGGACUCUGUUCCAAAAUCAGAUCUAAAAAGAGUCAAAAACACAGAAAAAAUAGGAACUGGCACUUGGCACUGAAUUAAUAAGUUAGUCCCAAAAAAGAUAUAAAAGGUAUAUAAAACAUCCAAAGUUGACAAGAUAACAACAUGAAUCCAUAAAAAUUAUAGAUACGUUUGAGACGUAUCAAGCAUCCCCAAGCUUAACUCCUGCUCGUCCUCGAGUAGGGAAGCGAUAAAGAAUGAAUUUUUGAUGCUUUCAUGCUACCUAGCAUAGAUGUCCUUUGUAACUCCUCUUAUGUGACGUGAAUAUUCAGAUCUGUUAAAUUCAAAACAAUAGUUUGCUAUUGACGUGGAGACAAUAAUACUUCAAGAAAACUAGCAAGGUAAUCAUGAACUUUCAAAAUAACAAGGCCAAAAGAAAGUUAUCCCUACAAAAUCAUAUAGUCUGGCUAUGCUCUAUCAUCCUUGCACAACGAAUUUAAAUCAUGCACAACCUCGGUAUUGGCCAAGUAAUUGCUUUCACACCUUUACUUUCUCAAACUUUUUCAACUCUCACGCAAUACAUGAGCGUGUGCCAUGGUUUUAGCACUAUAAGUGGAAUGGAGUGUGGUGGAGGUUGCAAGACAAACAAGGAGAAGAUGGUCACAUUGACUAGGCAUAUCAAUGAGCUAUGGAGAUGCUCAUCAAUAGAUAUCAGUGUGAAUGAGUAGGGACUGCCAUACAAAUAAUUCACUAGAGCUAAGAGUAUGUGAAAGCUCUUAAACAAAACUAGUGGGUGUGUAUCCAACUUGCUUGCUCACGAAGACCUAAGGCAAUUUUGAGUAAGCCUGUCAUUCGAAUAUACAAGCCAAGUUAUAUAAUGAAAAAUUCCCACUAGCUAUAUGGUGGUGACGAAACGAGAGACUCUCAAUCAUGAAGAUUAUGGUGCUUAAUAAGCACAAGUGUGGAAAUAUAUUAGCACCGCCCCUUCUCUCUUUUUCUCUCAUUUUUUUGGUGGGCUCUUUGGCCUCUUUUUUUUAUUUUUUAUUUUUUAUUUUGGUCGGCAUCUUUGGCCUCUUGUUGUAAAUGGGCUUCGCUGGCCUCUUUUAUUUCCUCACAUGGGACAAUGAUCUAUCAAUGAUGAUCAUCACACUUACAACUGAAAACUUAGAGCAAUGAUGACUCUAUAUGAAAUGCCUUCGGUAGUGUACCGUGACAAUGAUCUAGCAUGGCAUAGACAUCAACGGAAACAUCAUGCUAGCUAUCUUAUGAUCAUGCAAUGGCAAUGUAGAAGUGGUGGCACAUGUCAUGGUGGUAGUUGCAUGGCAAUACAUCUCGGAAUGGCUUUGAAAAAGCCAUAGUAGGUAGGUAUGGUGGCAAUUUUGAGGGAGGCGAAUGGUGGGUUUUAUGCACCGGCGAAAGUUGCACGACACUAAAGAAGAUAGUGAUGGUGGUAGGUGAAAGUGCAUCUAAACCAUGGACUCAACAUUAGUCAUGAAGAACUCAUAUACUUGUUGCAUAAGUUUUAGUAGUAAUCGAAACAAAGCAUUCAACGCAUACUCCUAGGGGAAGGGUUGGUAGGUAUAAACCAUCGCACGAUCCCGACCGCCACACAAAGGAUGACAAUCAAUAAACUAAUCAUGCUCAGACUUCAUCACAUAGCGGUUCACCAUACGUGCAUGCUACGGGAAUCACUAACUUCAACACAAGUAUUUCUAGAUCCACAACACCUUACUUAGUAUAACUUCAAUAUUACCACAACCACAACUCAAAACUAAUUGAGAUGAAUCAAACUUUGGUGGAAGUUUUCACAUGAAGGUGGAAGUUUUCAUAUCCCUUUGGAUAACUACCCCUUUUGAGACUACUUUCAUAGCAUAGAUCAACUACCACGCCACACGCUUCUGUGCUCUAAAAGAUAGAAGUGAAAUACAUAGAGCAAAAUCAACUAGCUCAAAAGCUAUAAGUGAAACACAUGUGAGCUGAAUUGUCUAACCAAAGGAUAUAAGUGAAGCUCGACAAAAUCACGGUGAGUGCAUGUCUCUCUCUCUAGGUGUGCAGCAAGGAAGAUUGUGACAUAACAAAAAUAAAAGACUCCUACGAUACAAGACGCUCCAAGAAAAACACAUAACAUGUGGUGAACAAAAAUAUAGCCCCAAGUAACGUUACCGAUGGAUUGAAGACGAAAGAGGGGAUGCCUUCCCAGGGCAUCCCCAAGAUUAGGCUUUUUCGGCAUCCUUGAAUCAACUUGGGGUUCCUUGGGCAUCCCCAAGCUUGAGCUCUUGCCAUUCUUUAUCUCUUGUCCAUAAGAACUUCACCCAAAACUUGAAAACUUCACAACAUGAAACUUAAACAGAAACUCGUGAUAUCAUUAGUAUAAGAAAGCAAAUCACCACUUCCUUAGGUACUGUAGAAAACUUAAAUUCUACUUAUGUUGAUGUUGGGUUACUGUAUUUUCAAUCUUCCGUGCCUAAUACCCCCCGAUACUAUCCAUAGUUUCAUCAAAAUAAGCAACCAACUCAACAAAACCAGAAUCUGUUAACAGAAGACCAGUCUGUAGCAAUCUGUAUACUUCUGGUACUUCAAAAAUUCUGACAAAUUACGUCAGUCUGAAGAAUUUGCGUAGAAAUCAGCAGCAAAAAGAAUCAACUCAAAAGCUCUCACAGAAAAAAAAUGAAAAUUCUUUUCGUGAGCAGAAAGUUUCUGUCUUUUCCAGCAUGACCAAACGAUCAUCCCCAAGACUAAUCAUAAUGGUUUCACUUGGCACAAACGAAAAAGAAACACAAAACAGAAAGAAAAAGGAUAGAUUCUUUGGGUUGCCUCCCAACAAGCGCUAUUGUUUAACGCCCUUAGCUAGGCAUAAGGUAAUGGAAUCACGUAUAGUCAUCUUUGGUGCUCAAACCAUAAGUAGCCCUCAUCAUAGAUUCAUAAGGCAAUCUUAUUUUCUUCCUAGGAAAAUGCUCCAUGCCCUUCUUAAGAGGAAAUUGAAAUCUAAUAUUCCCUUCCUUCAUAUUGAUGAUAGCACCGAUAGUCCUUAGGAAAGGUCUACCAAGAAUAAUGGGACAUGAAGUAUUGCAAUCUAUGUCAAGCACAAUGAAAUCCACGGGUACAUAGUUCUUAUUUGCAACAAUAGGUUGAUACUUCCCAUGAGUUUCUUGACAGUAGAAUCCGCAAGAUGCAAAUUAAGAGAACACUCUUCAAUCUCAUGAAAACCAAGAAUAUCACACAAAGACUUUGGAAUUGUGGAAACACUAGCACCCAGAUCACACAAAGCAUUACAUACAUAGUUUUUUAUUUUGAUUUUGAUAGUAGAUUCCCACUCAUCAUGAAGUUUUCUAGGUAUAGAGACUUCUAAUUCGAGUUUCUCUUCAAGAGAUUUCAUCAUAGCAUCUACGAUAUGUGCGGUAAAGGCUUUGCUUUGGCUAUAAGCAUGUGGAGAGUUUGCAAUGGAUUGCAUCAAGGAAAUGCAUUCAAACAAGGUGCAACUAUCAUAAUUGAAUUCUUGAAAUCCAAAGUGGGAGUUUCAUUACUACCCAAUAUUUUGAUUUCUUCUACUCCACUCUCCACACCUUUAUCAUCAAGAUAGGUGGACUCCGAAUCAUUGGGGCGUUUUUCAACCAAAGUGGAUUCAUAUCCAGCCCCUUCAUCAAUAGGUUUGACACGCGAAAACAAAGAUUCAAGAGGAGUCACACCAAGCACUUUAAGAUCUUCGUGAUUUACAUCACUAGAAUGCACCCUUUUAAACCAUUCAUGCCUAGCGCGGAUUUGGGCGGUUCUUUCUUUGCUCUAAUUCAUGGAGACACACAUAGCUUUUAAAGUUUCAUCCAAGUUAACCUUGGGAGGAGCACAUCUAACUUUCAAAGCAUCAAUAUCACAAGACAUCCUAUCAAUGCUCUUAGCCAAAUCGUCUAUUUUUAGUAGUUUUUCCUCUAUGGACGCAUUGAAAAUCUUUUGAGAGUUGAUGAACUCUUUGAUAUUACUCUCUAAAUCAGAGGGUAAUUUGUUAUGAUUUCCAUAAGUGUUGUUGUAGGAAUUGCCAUAAUUGGUAGAGGAGUUACUAGGAAAAGGCCUAGGAACAUAGUUUCCUCUAAAAGCAUUGUUGUUGCCAAAAUUGUUCCUACCAACAAAAUUAACGUCCAAACUAGCGUUGCUACUCUCAAUCAAGGAAGAUAGUGGCAUGUCAUUAGGAUCUAAAGGAGCAUUUCUACUAGCAACCAAAUUCAUCAACUCGUCCAUCUUAGCACCAAGCGAGAUAAUUUCUUCUAUAGCGUGUACCUUUUUGCUAGCAGGUGACCUUUCAGUGUGCCACUGAGAGUAGUUGGUCAUGAUAUUGUCUAGGAGUUUUGUAGCUUCUCCUAACGUGAUUUCCAUGAACGUUCCACCUGAGGCGGAGUCCAAGAUAUUUCGAGAGGCAAAAUUCAAACCAGCGUAAAAUUUUACCCCACUAGCUUUGCUCCAACUUCUACUCCACUAAUUUUUAGGGGGUCAGUUAGAACUGCCCUUAGCAAACAUUUUCCCUGCUGAUUUCGUCUUGACGAAGCUUCAAAACAAGAUGUCAUUUCAUCAUGGUUCGACAAUUUUUUUCUCAAGGCCAUCAGUCACAACAUUUUGUCGUGAUUUGCCAUGUUAGCGGUUAAUAUUGUCGUAAUAAUUAUGUAUAGUUAGUCUUCUCCAACGACAACCCACAAAUUUCCUUUGACAUUCAUCCACGGACACAGAUGCGUGAGGACGACAUCCAACCGUAGCCGCAUAUAUUUUGACAACAAAUCAAACCAACCGGACAAAAUUCGUGCAAACAUGGACGAAUUCAUGCAAACACGACAAAUUUCAUAUAAACAUGGCAGAUUUCAUUACAUUAACAUGAGUCCAUUGUAGAUGUAUAAUCACUACUAGAAUCCAAAAAUUUGUCGUCUGCCAUGUCUUUGUCGUCCGCUGACACAUGGCAAAGAUCCUCUUUGCCGUUAGCUGGCACAAAGCUGACGGCAAACAGAAGCCUGAUGGCAAAGGUGUUGUUUUUGUUAAACAAUAGCGCUUGUUGGGAGGCAACCCAAUUUUAUUUUUAUGUUUUUGUUUUUGCUUCUGUUUUUGAGUGCCGCACACAUUAUUACCUCUCUAAUAAUUGUGUUUAUUGUUUUAAUUAUUGUUUGAGCCAAGUAAUACCUUUGGGAUGAUCUACGGUGUUUGCAAGUUGAUUUUGCUGAAAAACAGAAACUUUUGCUCUCAGUCCAAGAUUUCGUAAAUUCACUGGAACAUGCUUUUGAUGUGAAUUUUUUACACAAGAUUGAUUUACAAAUUUAGCUUAUUAUCCUAAUUGUUCGGAAUUUUUGGAUUUACAGAAGUAUUCGAAGUAAACAGAUUGCUACAGACUGUUCUGUUUUUGACAGAUUCUGUUUUCUUUGUGUUGUUUGCUUAUUUUGAUAAAUCUAUGGGUUGUAUCGGGGGGUAUGAACCAUGGAGAAGUUGGAAUAUAGUAAAUAUUACAUAAAUAGAAAUAAAUAAUCUGUUAACAAAAUUACCUAAAGUGUUGAUUUAUUUCUCUUAUACUAACGGAUCUCAUGAGUUUUUUUGUUGAGUUUUGUAUUGUGAAGUUUUCAAGUUUUGGGCAAAGAUUUGAUGGACUAUGGAAUAAGGAGUGGAAAGAGCCUAAGAUUGGGGAUGACCAAGGCACCCCAAGACAUAUUCAAGGAUGCCAAAGAGCCUUAGCUUGGAGAUACCCCGGAAGGCAUCCCCUCUUUCAUCUUCAAUCCAUCGGUAAAUUUACUUGAGGCUAUAUUUUUAUUCACCACAUGAUAUGUGUUUUGCUUGGACCGUCUUGUAUGAUAUGAGUCUUUACUUUUUAGUUUGCCACAAUCAUCCUUGCUGCACGCAUCUUUUGAGAGAGACACGCUGAAUUGUGAAUUUAUUAGAAUACUCUAUGUGCUUCACUUAAAUAUUUUGAGCUAGGCGAUGUUGCUCUAGUCCUUCAUUUAUAUCUUUUAGAAAACGACGACGUUUUAUUUUAUAGAAAUUAUUAAAUUCUCGUACCUCACUUAUAUAUUUUUGAGAGUUCUUUAAACAUCAUGGUAAUUAGUUUAGGUUAUGAAUUUAGUCCUAAUAUAAUGAGCAUCCAAGAUGGAUAUAAUAAAAACUUUCAUAUUAAGUGCAUUGAAUAUGAUGAGAAGUUUGAUUCCUUGCAUAUAGUUUUGAGAUAUGAAGAUGGUAAUAUGAGAGUCAUGCUAGUAAGUAAUUGUGAAUUGGAAGAAAUACUUGCAUUAAAUCUUGUGAUUCCCGUAGCAUGCACGUAUGGUGAACCGUUAUGUAAUGAAGUCGGAGCAUGAUUUGUUUAAUGAUUGACAACCUUUGUGUGGAGGUCGGGAUCGCACGAUGGUUAAGUCCAACCAACCCUUCCCCUAGGAGCAUGCGUCUAAUACUUUGCUUAGAUAACUAAUAGGCUUUUGCAAUAAGUAUGUGAGUUCUUUAUGACUAAUGUUGAGUUCAUGGAUUAUACGCACUCUCACCUUUCCACCUUUGCUAGGCUCUCUAGUACCGCGCAACUUUCGCCAUUACAUUAAACCCAACUUACUCAAAACAGCCACCAUAUACUUUCCUCAAAAUAGCCACUAUAUCUACCUAUUAUGGCAUUUUCAUAGCCAUUCCGAGAUAUAUUUCCACGCAACACCACCGUUCUGUUGUUUUUAUGAUACGCACCAUCACUUCCAUAUUGCUUAUAGAGUCAUAUUUUGUUCUAGAUAUCGAGUUGUAAUCUUUGAGUUGUAAGUAAAUAAAAGUGUGAUGAUUUUUAUUAUUAGAGCAUUGUACCAUGUGAUAAAAGGAUGAUGGAAGCUAUGAUUCCCUCACAAGUUGGGAUGAGUCUCCGGAGUUUACAAAAAAUAAAAGAGGCCAGCGAAGCCCAUAAAAAAUAAAAGAGGCCAAAUAUGCCCUCCAAAAAAAGAGAAAAAAAGAGAUAAAGAGAGAAGGGACAAUGCUAAUAUCUUUUUCCACACUUGUGCUUCAAAUUAGCACCAUGUUCUUCAUAGAGAGUCUCCUAUUUUUUCACUUUCAUAUAACUAGUGGAAUUUUAUCUUUUUCACAACCACUUACUUUUCUUUUUGAGCUUUCAUACAGUUAUAGCUCUAGUGCAUUUGUUGCAUGGCAAUCCCUACUCACUCACAUUGAUAUCUAUCGAUGGACAUCUCCAUAGCCCAUUGAUACGCCUAGUUGAUGUGAGACUAUCUUCUCCUCUUUCUUUUUGCAACCUCCACCAUAUUCUAUUUCACCCAUAGUGCUAUGUCCAUGGCGCACGCUCAUGUAUUGCGUGAGAGCUUAAAUGGUUUGAGAACAUAAGAAGUGUGAAAUAAUUUCUUGACUUUCAUCGGGGUUGUGCAUGAUUUAGAUACUUUGUGUGGGGAAGAUGGAGCAUAGCCAAACGAUGAUUUUGUAGGGAUAACUUUCUAAGACCAUGUUAUUUCAAAAGGAAGCAAUUGCCUUGUUAGUAUGCUUGAAGUAUUAUUAUCUUUAUGUCAAUAUUAGACUUUUGUUUUGAAUCUUAUGGAUCUGAAUAUUCAUGCCACAAUAAAGAAUAUUACAUGGAUAAAUAUGUUAGCUAGCAUUCUACAUCAAAAAAAUUGUUAGGUAGCAUGAAAGCAUCAAAAAUUCAUUCGUUAUCACUUCCCUACUCGAGGACGAGCAGGAAUUAAGCUUGGGGAUGCUUGAUACGUCUCCAACGUAUCUAUAAUUUUUGAUUGUUCCAUGCUAUUAUAUUAUCUCUUUUGGAUGUUUUAUAUGCACUAAUAUGCUAUUUUAUAUUGUUUGGGGGAAUAACCUAUUAAUCUAGAGCCUAGUGCGAGUUUAUGUUUUUCCAUGUUUUUGUGUAUUGCAGAUAAGGGAUAUUAAACGGAGUCCAAACGGAAUAAAAUAUCUAGAAUGAUUUUUCUUGGACUAGAAGAAACCUGCUAGACUUGGAGUAGGGGGCAGGGCGUGCCCUAGGGGGCGCCCCUUGGAUUGUGGCCCCCCUGCAGGUCUCCUAACCCUAACCCUUGGCCUAUAAAUUCCCAAAUAUUCGCCCAUUACCGAAGAGAGGCACAAAAAUAUUUUUCCGCCGCCGAGAGCCUCUGUUCCCGUGAGAUCCAAUAUGGGAGCCUUUUUCGGUAAUCUGUCGAAGAGGGAAUUGAUCACGGAGGGCAUCUACAUCAACUCCAUUGCCCCUCCGAUGAUGUGUGAGUAGUUCACCACAUACCUACGGGUCCAUAGCUACUAGCUAGAUGGCUUCUUCCCUCUCUUUGUUCUUCAAUACCAUGUCCUUCAUGAUCUUCACGGAGAUCUAUCCGAUGUAAUACUAUUUUGCGGUGUGUUUGUCGAGAUCCGAUGAAUUGUGGUUUUAUGUUCGGAUUAUGUAUGAUUAUUAUUUGAGUCUUUUCUGAAUUCUUAUAUGCAUGAUUCCAUAUCUUUGAAAGUCUCUUCGAAUUAUUGGUUUGGUUUGCCAACUAGAUUGGUACUUCUUGCAAUGGGAGAAGUGCUUAUUUUUGGGUUCAAUCUUGUGGUGUCAUCACCCGGUGACAAAGUAGGGGUAGCGAGGCACGUAUUGCAUUGCUGCCAUCGAGGAUAAAAAGAUGGGGUUUUCAUCAUAUUGCUUGAGUUUAUCCCUCUACAUCAUGUCAUCUUACUUAAUGCAUUACUCUGUUCUCCAUGAAUUUAAUACUCUAGAUGCAGGCAAGAGUCGGUCGAUGUGUGGAGUAAUAGUAGUAGAUGCAGAAUCGUUUCGGUCUACUUGACACGGACAUGAUGCCUAUAUGCAUAAUCAUUGCCUUGGAUAUCUUCAAAAUUAUUCGUUUUUCUAUCAGUUGAUCGACAGUAAUUUGUUCACCCACCGUAUUAUUUUCCUUUAUGAGAGAAGCCUCUAGUGAAACCUAUGGCCCCCGGGUCUAUUUUCCAUAUUAUAUUUUCAGAUCUAUACACCAAAAAUACCAAAAAUAUCUUGCUGCAAUUUAUUUACUUUUGUUUUACUUUUAGAUCUAUCAAUCUUUUAUAUCUAUCUCUAUCAGAUCUUGUCCUUGCAAAUAACUCUAAAGGGAUUGACAACCCCUUUUUAGCCUUGGGUGCAAGUGUUUGAUUGUUUGCGUAGGUACUACGAUUGGGGCCUUGCUUGUUCCUCCUACUGGAUUGAUACCUUGGUUCUCAAGAAACUGAGGGAAAUACUUAUCUACUUCGCUGCGUCACCCUUUCCUCUUCAAGGGAAAACCAAUGUAAGCUCAAGAGAUAGGAGAGAUCAUGCCGGUGCUUUGGUGAUGGAGAUCAAGAAGCACAAGUUCAUGGCCAUAUCAUGUCACUUAUGAUUUGCAUGUGAUGUUAAUCCUUUUAUGCAUCUUAUUUUGCUUAGGACGACGGUAGCAUUAUAACUUGAUCCCUCACUAAAAUUUCAAGAAAAAAUUGUGUUCUCCUUGAAUGUGCACCAUUGCGACAACUCGUCGUUUCGAGACACCACGUGAUGAUCGGGUGUGAUAGACUCUACGUUAACAUACAACGGGUACAAAAUAGUUGCACAUGCGGAACACUCGGGUUAAACUUGACAAGCCUAGCAUGUACAGACAUGGCCUCGGAACACAAGAUACCGAAAGGUCGAGCAUGAGUCAUAUAGUAGGUAUGAUCAACAUGGGGAUGUUCACCAUUGAAGCUAAACUCAACUCACGUGAUGACCGGACUUGAGUUAGUGAAUUUGGUUCAUGUACCACUCAAAUAACCAGAGGGAUGUCAAUUUGAGUGGGAGUUCUUAAGUAAUAUGAUUAAUUGAACUCAUUAUCAUGAACAUUGUCAAAAGGUCUUUCAAAUUAUGUUGUACCUUGCGAUGUAGCUCUACUGUUUUUGAUAAGUUCCUAGAGAAAAUUUAGUUGAAAGAUGAUAGUAGCAAUUAUGCGGACUAGGUCUGUAAAUUGAGGAUUGUCCUCAUUGCUACAAAGAAGGCUUAUGUCCUUAAUGCACCGCUCUGUGUGCUAAACCCCAAGCAUCAUCUGUAGAUGUUGCGAACAUCUGACAUACACAUUUUUGAUGACUACAUGAUAGUUCAGUGCAUAAUGCUUAAACGGCUUAGAAUUUAGGCGUCGAAGACGUUUCGAAUGUCAUGGGACAUGUGAGAUGUUCCAAGAGAUGAAAUUGGGAUUUCAGGCUCGUGCCCGUGUUGAGAGGUGUAAGACCUCUGACAAGAUUCUUUGUCAACAAAGUAAGGGAGAAAAGCUCAAUUGUUGAGCAUGUGCUCAGAUUGUGUGAGUACUACAAUCGUUGAAUCGAGUGGGAGUUGAUCUACCAGAUAAGAUAGUGAUUGCCAUAGUUCUCCAAAGUCACUGUCACCAAGCUACUGAGCUUCGUGAUGAACUAUAGCAUGUCAGGGAUAGAGAUGGUGAUCCCUGAGUUAUUUGCGAUGUUUGACACUACGAAAGUAGAAAUCAAGUAGGAGCAUCAAUUGUUGAUGGUUAGUGAAACCACUAGUUUCAAGAAGGGCAAGGGCAAGAAGGGAUACUUAAUGAAUGGCAAAUCAGUUGUUGCUCUAGUAAAGAAACCCAAGGUUGCACCCAAACCCGAGACUAAGUGCUUCUGUUAUGAGGGGAACGGUCACCGAAGCAGGACUACCCUAGAUACUUGGUAGAUGAGAAGGCUGGCAGACUCGACAAAAGUAUAUUCGAUAUACAUGAUAUUGAUGUGUACCUUACUAGUACUCCUAGUAGCACCGGGUUAUUAGAUAGCAGUUCAGUUGCUAAGUGUUAGUAACUCGAAAUUAUAGCAAUGGAUUAAACGGAUACUAGCAAGGGUGAGGUGACGAUGUGUGUUGGAAGUAAUUCCAAGGUUGAUGUGGUCAACAUCACACGCUCCCUCUACCUUCGGGACUAGUGUUAAACGUAAAUAUUGAUUGGUGUUUGCAUUGAGUGUGAACAUGAUUGGAUCAUGUUGAUUGCAAUAAGAUUAUUCAUUUAAAGAGAAUAAUGGUUACUCUGUUUACUAGAAUAAUACCUUCAAUGGUCAUGCACCUAAUAUGAAUGGUUUAUUGAAUCUUGAUCAUAGUGAUACACAUUUUCAUAAUAUUGAUGCCAAAAGAUACAAAGUAUUAAUGAUAGUACCACUUACUUGUGGCACUGCCGCUUGAGUCAUAUUGGUAUAAAACGCAUGAAGAAGCUCCUUGUUGAUGGAUCUUUGACUUACUCGUUUUUGAAUCGUUUGAGACAUGCGGACCAUGCCUAUUGGUAUAAACGCAUGAAGAAACUCCAUGUAGAUGGAUUUUUUAGACUCACUUGAUUUUGAAUCACUUGAGACAUGCAAAUCAUGCCACAUGGGCAAGAUCACUGAAGGCCUCGUUUUCAGUAAGAUGGAACGAGCAAGUGACUUGUUGGAAAUAGUACAUUUUGAUGUAUGCAGUCAAAUGAGUGCUGAGGAACGCAGUGGAUAUCGUUAUGUUCUUACUUCACUGAUGAUUUAGUAGAUACAUGAGUAUUUUCUUGAUGAAUCACAAGUGUAAAAUAUUGAAAAGUUCAUGCUAUUUCAGAGUGAAGUUGAAGAUCGUUGUGACAAGAAGAUAAUAUGUCUACGAUAUGAUCAUGGAGGUAAAUAUAUCUAAGUUGCGAGUUUGGUAAACAUUGAAGGCAAUGUGAAAAUUAUUUCACAACUCAUGCUACGUGGAACACCAUAUUGUGAUGGUGUGUUCGAACGUCAUAGCCGCGCCCUAUUGGAUAUGGUGCAUACUAUGACGUCUCCUAUCGAAUUACCAUUUUUUUAGGUUAGGCAUUAGGGACAACCACAUUCACUUUAAAUAGGGCACCACGUGAUUCCAUUGAGAUGACAUCGUAUGAACUAUGGUUUGUAGAAACCUAAGCUGUCGUUUCUCAAAAGUUUGUGGCUGCGAAGCUUAUGUGAUUUUUUAGCCUAAUAAGCUCGAACCUAAAGCGGUAAAUGCAUCUUCAUAGGACAACCAAAACAGUUGGGUAUACCUCCUAUCUCAGAUCCGGAAGCAAAGUGUUUGUUUCUAGAAACGGGUCCUUUCUCAAGAAAAGUUUCUCUCGAAAUAAUUGAGUGGGAGGAUGGUGGAAACUUGAUGAGGUUAGUGAACCGUCACUUCGACCAAUGAGUAGCUGGGCGCAUGAAGAUGUUCCUGUGGCUCCUACACUAGUUGAAGUAGAAAGCUGAUGAUGGUGAUCAUGAAGCUUCGGAUCAAGUUACUACCAAACCUUGUAGGUCGACAAGGAAACGUACUACUCUAGAGUGAUACUGUAAUCCUGUCUUGGAGGUCAUGUUGCUGGAGAACAAUGAACCUACGAGCUAUGGCGAAGCGAUGGUGGGCCUGGAUUCCGACGAAUGGCUGGACUCCAUGAAAUCCGAGGUAGGAUCCAUGUAUGAAAACAAAGUGUAGACUCUGGAAGAACUACUUGAUGGUCAUAAGGCUAUUAGGUACAAAUGGAUCUUUAAGAGGAAGACAGACAUUGAUGGUAAAUGUCACCAUUAAGAAAGCUCGACUUAUCGCAAAGUUGUUUCCGACAAGUUCAAAGAGUUGACUAUGAUGAGACUUUCUCACUCGUAGCGAUGCUAAAAGUUUGUUGGAAUGAUGUUAGCAGUUGUUGCAUUAUUUAUGAAAUCUUGAAGAUAGGAUGUCAAAACAUUGUUUUCUCGACAUUUUCCUUGAGGAAAGGUUGUAUGUUAUACAACCAGAAGGUUUUGUCGAUCCUAAGGAUGCUAGCAAGUAUGCAAGCUCCUGUGAUCCUUCUAUGGACGGGAGCAAGCAUCUCGGAGUUGGAAUAUACGCUUUGAUGAGAUGAUCAAAGCUUUUGGAUUUAUACAAAGUUUAUGAGAAACUUGUAUUUCCAAGAAAGUGAGUAGGAGCACUAUAGAAUUUCUGAUGAGUAUAUGUGGUUGACAUAUUGUUGAUCGGAAAUAAUGUAGGAUCUCUAGGAUGCAUAAAGCAUUGUUUCAAAGGAGUUGUUCAAAGGAAAACCUGGAUUGAGCUACUUGAACAUUGAGCAUCAAGAUCUAUAGAGAUAGAUCAAGACGCUUGAUAAAACUUUUAAUGAAUACAUACCUUGAUAAGUUUUUGAAGGAGUUCAAAAUGGAUCAGUCAAAGAAGGAGUUCUUGACUAUAUUGUAAGGUGUGAAUUUGAGUAAGACUCAAAUCCCGACCACGACAGAAGAAAGAGAAAGGACGAAGGUCGUCCCCCAUGCCUUAGCUGUAGGAUCUAUAGUAUGCUAUGCUGUGUACCGCACCUGAUGUGUGCCUUGCCAUGAAUGUGUCAAGGGGUACAAAAGUGAUCCAGGAAUGGAUUACUGGACAAGGGUCAAAAGUAAUCCUUAGUAACUAAUGGACUAAGGAACUUUCUCGAUUAUGGAGGUGAUAAAAGAGUUCGUCGUAAAGGGUUACGUCGAUGCAAGCUUUGACACUAAUCCGGCUGACUCUGGGUAGUAAACCGGAUUCGUAUAGUGGAGAAGUCGUUUGGAAUUGUUCCAAGUGAAGCAUGGUAGAAGCAUCUAUAGUAUGACGUAGAGAUUUGUAAAGUACACACGAAAAUGAAUGUUUCAGACCUGUUGACUAAAGCCCUCUCUCACAAGCAAGACAUGAUCAAACCCCAGAACUGUAUGAGUUUUAGGUUCAUUACAAUCAAAUAGUGAUGUGAACUAGAUAAUUGACUCUAGUGCAAGUGGGAGAUAGUUGGAAAUAUGCCAUAGAGGCAAUAAUAAAUUAGUUAUUAUUAUAUUUCCUUGUUCAUGAUGAUCGUUUAUUAUCCAUGCUAGAAUUUUAUUGAUUGGAAACUAAAUACAUGUGUGGUUGCAUAGACAACAGACUGUCCCUAGUGAGCCUCUAGUUGACUAGNNNNNNNNNNNNNNNNNNNNNNNNNNNNNNNNNNNNNNNNNNNNNNNNNNNNNNNNNNNNNNNNNNNNNNNNNNNNNNNNNNNNNNNNNNNNNNNNNNNNNNNNNNNNNNNNNNNNNNNNNNNNNNNNNNNNNNNNNNNNNNNNNNNNNNNNNNNNNNNNNNAGGUUUCCUGGCCAUAGACAUGAGAUGUCGUAUUAUAACGGAAAAUGAUGUGAUGGACAAGACCCAAACUAUGAACAUAGCAUAUGACCGUGUCAGUUUAUUGCUACUGUUUUCUGUAUGUCAAUGUAUGUGUUCCUAUGACCAUGAGAUCAUGCAACUCCCGGACACUGGAGGAAUACCUUGUGUGUAUCAAACGUCACAACGUAACUAGGUGACUAUAAAGGUGCUCUACAGGUAUCUCCGAAGGUGUUUGUUGGGUUGGCAUGGAUCAAGACUGGGAUUUGUCACUCGGUGUGACGGAGAGGUAACUCGGGGCCCACUCGGUAAUACAACAUCACAAUAAGCCUUGCAAGCAAUGUGACUAAGGAGUUAGUCAUGGGAUCUUGUAUUAUAGAACGGGCAAAGAGACUUGCCGGUAAUGAUAUUGAACUAGGUAUAGAGAUACCGACAAUCGAAUCUCGGGCAAGUAACAUACUGAAGGACAAAGGGAACAUCAUAGGGGGUUAACUGAAUCCUUGACACAGAGGUUCGACCGAUAAAGAUCUUAGUAGAAUAUGUAGGAGCCAACAUGGGCAUCCAGGUCCCGCUAUUGGUUAUUGAUCGGAGAAUGUCUCGGGUCAUGUCUGCAUAGUUCUCGAACCCGCAGGGUCUGCACACUUAAGGUUCGGUGACGUUUCGGUAUAACUGAGUUAUGUAUGUUGGUGAUCGAGGGUUGUUAGGAGUCCCGGAUGAGAUCCUGGACGUCAUGAGGGUUUCCGUAAUGGUCCGGAGGUACAUAUUGAUAUAUAGGAAGUAUCCAUUUUGCUUCCGGAAGGUUUUCGGGCAUUACGGGUAAAGUACCUGGAGUGAUGAAUAGGUUCCGGAGUUCUACUGAGAGGGGCCACUCACCCGGGAGAGAACCAAAGAAGCCCAAGGGUGGCGCACCAGCCCUUAGUGGGAUGGUGGCCAACCCAAAGAGGCCUAUUCGGCCAAAGGGAGAAAGGAAAGGACGGUGGGACAAAAACCGAAUUGGGGAAGGAGGUCUCCUUCUUCCAAGUUGUGUUGAAGGAGGACUCCUCCCUCUCCUCUUGGUUCGUCCGAACCCUAGGGCCUUGCCCUAGGGCGCCACUCCUCCCCUCCCUCCUAUAUAUAGUGGAGGUGAGAAAGGCUUUUGGCAUCCCUCUCUCCCUCCACCACUUCGUGACACCCCGUAGCUAGUUCGGUACGACACGUCGAAGCCCUGCCGGAGUAGCUCCACCACCAUCGCUGCCACGCCGUCAUGUGAUAAUCCACAAGUGUAGGGGAUCGCAACAGUUUUCGAGGGUAGAGUAUUCAACCCAAAUUUAUUGAUUCGACUCAAGGGGAAGCAAAAGAAUAUUCUCAAGUAUUAGCAGCUGAGUUGUCAAUUCAACCACACCUGAAAGAUUAGUGUCUGCAAGCAAAGUAUUAGUAGCAAAGUGGUAUGAUAGCAACGGUGUCAGAAACAGGUCUGUUGACGGCAGAUUAUUCCUAACUUGUUGUAUCAAUGGCGCCAGUAAAGUCAUGCAACAGGUAACAACAAAGUAGCAAGUAACAACAGUAGUGACAACAGCAGCAAGGAACAGCAGUAGUGACAGCAGUAGCAAGUAACAGCAGUAGCAGCAAAGUAACAACAGUAGCAGCAGAGUAACGAUAGCAGCAGAGUAACAUCAGUAGCGAGGACUAGUAGUAAAAGACUCGUAGGCAUUGGAUCGGUGAUGGAUGAUUAUGCCGGAUGCGAUUCAUCAUGUAACAACAAUAACACGGAGAGAUAAGUAACUAGCUCCUGUCCGUCAAUCUAAUGUAGGCAUGUAUUCCGUAUGUAGUCAUACAUGCUUAGGGAAAAGAACUUGCAUGACAUAUAUUGUCCAUCCCUCCCAUGGCAUAGGGGUCAUAAUGGAAACUACGGGAUAUUAAGGUUCUCCUUUUAAGAAAGAACCGGACCAACGCAUUAACACGUGGUGAAUACAUGAACUCCUCAUACUAUGGUCAUCUCCGGGAGUGGUUCCGGCUAUUGUCACUCCGGGGUUGCCGGGUCAUAACACAUAGUAGGUGACUACAACUUGCAAGAUAGGAUCUAAAACACACAUAUAUUGGCGACAACAUAAUAGGUUCAGAUCUGAAAUCAUGGCACUCGGGCCCUAGUGACAAGCAUUAAGCAUGGCAAAGUAGUAGCAACAUCAAUCUCAGAACAUAGUGGAUACUAGGGAGCAAUCCCCGUCAAAACUAACUCGAUCACAUGAUAGAUCUCAUCCAACUCAUCACCGUCGAGCAAGCCUACGAUGAGAUUACUCACGAACGGUGAAGAGCAUCGUGGAAUUGUCGAUGGAGGAAGGUUGAUGAUGACGAUGGCGACGAUUUCCCCUCUCCGGAGCCCAGAACGGACUCCAGAUCUGCCCUCCAGAUGAAGAAUAGGAGGUCGCGGCACCUCCGUAUCGUAAAACGCGAUGAAUCCUUCUCUCUGAUUUUUUUCCGGGCGAAACAGAAUAUAUAGAGCUGAGUUUGGUGGCGGUGGAGCCUCGUGGGCCCCACAAGCCUGGUUGGUGCGGCUUGGAGGGUGGCCGCGCCCCCUGGGCUUGUGGCCCACUGGCUCACCCCCUGAGGUGGAUCUUUGCGCAGGUAUUUUUCAUUAAUUCCAGAAAAAUUCUCCGUAAAUUUUCAGGUCAUUCCGAGAACUUUUAUUUCUGCACAAAAACAACACCAUGGCAAUUCUGAUGAAAACAACGUUAGUCCAGGUUAGUUCCAUUCAAAUCAUGCAAAUUAGAGUCCAAAACAAGGGCAAAAGAGUUCGGAAAAGUAGAUACGACGGAGACGUAUCAACUCCCCCAAGCUUAAAGCCUUGCUUGUCCUCAAGCAAUUCAGUUGACAAACUGAAAGAGACAAAAGAAAAACUUUGACGAACUCUGUUUAAUCUUGUUGUUGCAACUAUGUCUAACUCACAACUAGAAUUUCAGCAAGAUCACAAGCUAACCACAUAAGCAAAUGACAUCUAGGUCUCACGGUAAACUCAUAUCAAUGGCAUAAUCAACUAGCAAGCAAAUAAUAAUAAGUCUCAAACGUCAACACUUCAAUCAAAACAACAUGAAGCAGUACGAACAGAUGGUAUCUCGCUAGCUCUUUCUGGGACCGCAAAACAUAAAUGCAGAGCACCUUCAAAUACCAAGGGCUGACUAAACAUUGUAAUUCAUGGCAAAGAAGAUCCAGUCACAGUCAUACUCAACACAGUUAUAAGCAAAGCAUAAAAACGACAGAGGUGCUCUCUAAUUGGUGCUUUUAUAAGAGGAGGAUGACUCAAUAGGAACAUAAAUAGACAGACCCUUCGCAGAGGGAAGCAUUGAUUUGUAGAGGUGCCAGAGAUUAAGCUUUUAAAACAGUGAUAAUAAUUUUGGGUGGCAUGCUCUCAUUGGCAACACCAUGACUAAGAGUUCUCAACAUCUUCCACGCUACACAUGCUAUAGGCGGUUCCCAAACAUAAAAGUAAAGUUUUGACUCCCCCACCACUAAUCAAUCACACUCUACGGCUACCCGAAUCCUCGGGUACCGUCCAUACCAACAUCAAUCCUGGGGGAGUUUUGUUUGCAAUUAUCUUUUCGAUUUGAGCAUGGAACUGGGAAUUCCAAUUACCGGCCCCUUUCUCGUGAAUGAUAGUGAAUAAACACAUAUCGAGGAUAACACACCUAGCAUGGAAGAUACCAAUAGCCCCGUGUCACCACAUGAGCGGUUCGAGCAUAUAAAAGAGAUUAUUUCUAGAAGGUUUAGAGAGUGGCACAUGCAAAUUUACUUGGAACGGCAGGUAGAUAUCGCAUAUAUGUAGGUAUAGUGGACUCAUAUGGAACAACUUUGGGUUUAUGGAAGUGGAUGCACAAGCAGUAUUUCCGCUUAGUACAAGUGAAGGCUAGCAAAAUACUGGGAAGCGACCUACUAGAGAGGGACAACGGUCAUCAAAAGGCAUUGAGAGUAACUAACAUUGAGUGCAAGCAUGAGUAGGACAUAAAUCACCAUGAACAUGAAUAUCAUAGAGGCUAUGUUGAUUUUGUUUCAACUACAUGCAUGAACAUGCGCCAAGUCAAGACACUUGAAUCAUUCAAAGGAGGAUACCAUCCUAUCAUACUACAACACAGUCAUCUCAAAAUUCAUGUUGGCAUCCAAGACAAACCAUUAUAAGCUCCUAGCUAAGUAAGCAUGGCAUAAGCAACUAUGAUCUCUAAGUUGUCAUUGCAAACAUGUUUCUCUCACAACAAAGCUGAAUCAGGCAUGAUGAGCUAGUCAUAUUUACAAAAACUAAACAGAUCGAGUUCAUACCAGCUUUUCCUGGCUCAGUCACUUCAUCAUAUAUCGUCAUUAUUGCCUUUCACUUGCACGACCGAACGAUGUGAACAAUAAUAAGCGUGCUCGUGCAUUAGACUAAAGCUGGAAUCUGCAGGCAAACACAAAGGAGAAGACAAAGUAAUAUGGCUCUUUGAAAUCUAAACAGGUAUGCAUGCAAGAGCCACUAAACAUUGUAACCAAUAUCUUCUACCUUGACCCAAAGAAAAAGAAAACUAUUUACAUGGGAAAGCUCCCAACAAGCAAAAGAAGAAAAAGAAAAUCUUUUUGGGUUUUCUCAAACUAGACAGACACACGAAAAGAAAAACGAGAAAAAGAAAUAAACUAACAUGGAUGAUAUAGUGGCAAAGUGUGAACACCGACGAACAAAGUGAAAGCAUAAGCAAGAAUGUAAAGUCGGUGAGAAACACGUACUCCCCCAAGCUUAGGCUUUUGGCCUAAGUUGGUCUACUCCCAAGGAUGGUCCCGGCGAAACCCAAAAUCAUAAUGUGGGUUGUACGGGAGUGCUGCAGCCACUGCCUGAAUAGCUGCCUCACGGAGACGAGCAGCCUUUGCCUCCCUCUCAUACUCCUCUACCUCUCCUCUGGUUAUGUAAUAUCUCCAUUUUACCUAAAAGUCAAAGAAGGCAGGAGCAGGAAGGGUAAUAUGGAAAACACGCCGGUAUAGGAGGGAUUCAUCAUCCCUCUCAAGGAACUGGUAGCGUGCCAAAGCGACGCGGUCAAGGAAAGUUGUAUGGAGCGAGGGAUCUCCUUCGCGGAUGGGUACUCCAAGAAAAUUUGCUAUGUGAGUGGCAUAGAUCCCACCAAAGAAAUCCCCUUCAUUAGCAUUCUUAUUCAACCUCCUUGCUAUUAUAGCUCCCAUGUUGAAACUUUUAUCACCCAUUACUCCGCUCUUAAGGAUACUAAGGUCGGAUGCGCAGAGGUGACAAUGCUCAAUCUUUCCAUUAAUGCAUCUGCCUAUGAAGAGGGCAAAGUAAUGCAAGGAAGGAAAAUGAAUACUCCCCAUGGUAGCUUGCGUAAUGUCUCUAGUUUCUCCAACAGUAAUACCAGAGCAAAAAUCUCUAACCGAAGAUUUAGGAGGAUCAUUGAGGCUACCCCAAAUAGGUAUUUUGCAAAUUCUAUUGAAAUCCUCUAAGUCCAUGGUAUAUGAUUUGUCAUAGAGAUCAAACAAUACCGAUGUGUCACGGCCAACUGAAAAUUCGAAUCUACGAACAAAAGAGGCAGUGAGAGCAACAUACUGUUCACAUUUAUCGGAUAUGAAUUCUUCGAGUCCGACGUUGCGAACAAGUGCAUCAAACUCAUCUUUGAAACCUGCCUCAAUCAUAAAUUCUUCAGAAGGCCAUUCACAUGGUUGUACUUGCGCGUCCCUUGGUUGGUAAGGAUCAGGCUCCCGAAUCGCAAGACGGGGACCUCUCUUGCUUGAGGAACCACCAUGAAAGUUUCUCCUGAACCUCUUCCUUUUCUGAAAUUUUCAGCGAUCCAAAGGAAAAAUGAACAAGGCUCAACUAAACUCAUAUCAACUAUUCCCACAAGUGCAUAGAGGCCAUAUUACGCAUCGAAACUACUUGGGACCAGCUAAAAUCAGCAUGCAAAGCUCAAGAACAUGGUGACCAAGGCAGAAAAAAUACGCGGAGUAUAAGGCACUAGAGCAAAAACUAAUUUAACCAAUGGAGGAGUCACUUACCAAGGAGCAAUUUCCCAAAAAUAGUUCGGAGAAUGGUGAUUUGAGCAAAGAGAUCAAAGAUCCAGCAAGAGGAGCAAGAACACGGGUUUGAGCUGCGAAACGAUUUUUUUCUGGAGGUAGGAGAACCAGAUGAGAGCAAGAAUGAGUGGAGGGGGUGCCUGUGGGCCCCACAAGCCUGGGUGGCGUGGCCAGGGGGGUGCCCGCGCCCCAAGGGCUUGUGGCCCACUGGUCAGCCCCCAUACAAGCUCUUCGUCCCAGUAUUUUUCAAAAAUUCUAGAAAAAAUCAUACUUCGUUUUUAGGACGUUCGAAGAACUUUUAUUUUCGGGGUACUUUUCUACCGGAUGCUAAAAAAGAAAACAGGCAAAACUAAACUAAACCUAUCAUUUUUCUUCUAAGCAACCGAAGGUGAAAGCUUGGAACAGAGGUUCGUGACUCCUCAAUUCAUCCAUCUCAUCGUCAUCGAAAGAAAUCCGUGAGUGAGGUUGAUCAAGUCUCUUUGACAAACCUUUUCGAAUCGCAAAAGAGAAUGGAGAAUUUUCGAAUAGUCACUAGGUCACCUCAAUGGGGAUAUGUAUCUCCCCAACAAGCAAAUCAUACUUCAUCCUGACACGAGGUAUAGGGCAUUCAAAGCUCCCAAUAAGAAUCGAUGAAGUCUUUUCGAUAGCAUUGAUGCAAUGUACUCGAUAUUGUUUCUUCAGAAAGUGCACCGUAUGCUCAUUACCAUUGACAUGGAAAGUGACAUGGCCUUUGUUGCAAUCUAUAACAGCACCUGCAGUGUUUAAAAAGGGUCUUCCGAGGAUGACCGCCAUGGCAUCGUCCUCAGGAAUAUCCAAGAUAACAAAGUAUGUUAAGAUAGUGACAUUGGCAACCACAAGGGCACAUCCUCGCAAAUGCCGAUAGGGAAAGCAGUUGAUUUGUCGGCCAUUAGCAGAGAGAUUUCAGUAGGUGUCAACUUAUGCAGUUCAAGUCUAUGAUAAAGAGAGAGAGGCAUAACACUAACACCGGCUCCAAGGUCGCAUAAAGUAGUUCUCACAUAGUUACCUUUAAUGGAGCAAGGUAUAGCGGGCACACCAGGAUCACUUAGUUUCUUAGGAGUACCACCCUUGAAGGUAUAAUUAGCGAGCAUGGUGGAAAUAUCAACCUCGGGUAUCCUCCUCUUAUUAGUCACAAUAUCCUUCAUGUACUUAGCAUACGAAGACAUUUUGAGCAUAUCUGUCAAACGCAUUUGCAGAAAGACAGGUCUAAUCAUUUCAAUGAAUCGCUCACAAUCCUCAUCAUCCUUUUUCUAGGAUGGUUUCGAAGGAAAGGGAAUAGGUUUCUGAACCCAUGGUUCCCUUUCUUUACCAUGCUUCCUAGCAGCGAAGUCAUUCUUAUCGUAUCUCCUAGACUUAGGCUGUGGGUUAUCAAGAUCAAUAGGUUCAAUCUUCACAUCCUUAUCAUUGCUAGGUUGAGCAUCAACAUGAACAUCACUAUUGAUCUUAUCAUUAGGCUCAUGUUCAUCACCAGAUUGUGUUUUAGCAUCAGAAACAGAGGCAUCGUUUGGACUCUCAGGUGUAGCAGCAACAAGGUUGCUAGCGUGCACAUCCCUAUCAUCUUUCUUCUUGUUUCUAGGAUGACUAGGUGCAUCAAUGCUAACUCCUUGAGAAUCUUGUUCAAUUAUCUUCGGAUGACCCUCAGGAUACAAAGGUUCCUGGGUAAUUCUACCGCCUCUAGCAACGACUCUGACAGAAUUGUCAUUCAACUCAUUGAGCAAGUCAUUUUGAGCUUUAAGUACUUGUUCUACUUGAGUAGUAACCAUAGAGGCAUGUUUACUCAGAAGCUUAAGAUCAUUGACAUUUCUGUCCACACAAGCACUUAAAUGAUUAAGCAUGCGUGCAUUUUGUUCCAAUUAUCUGCUAACAUAAUCAUUGAAGUUUUGUUGUUUGGCAACAAAGUUAUCAAGUUCAUCCAGGCAUAGGCUAGCAGGUUUAUCAAAAGGAAUAUUACUCUCAUCAAACCUACGCAGAGAAUUUACUUCUACUACCUGUAUCGGGUUAUCGAGACCAUGGAUCUCUUUGAUAGGUGGUAGUUUUUCGACAUCUUCAGAUUUAAUGCCUUUCUCUCGCAUAGAUUUCUUGGCUUCCUUCAUAUCUUCAGGACUGAGGAAUAGAAUACCUCUUUUCUUUGGAGUUGGAUUAGGAGGUGGUUCGAGAAUAGUCCAAGCAUUCUCAUUGCACAAGAUGUUAUUCAAUAGGAUCUUAGCUUGUUCUACAGUUCGUUCCCUAAAAACAAAACCAGCACAACUAUCUAGGUGGUCUUUGGAAGCAUUGAUAAGUCCGUUAUAGAAGAUAUCAAGUAUUUCAUUCUUCUCAAGAGGGUAAUCAGGCAAAGCAUGUUGGAAAUAUGCCCUAGAGGCAAUAAUAAUUAGUUAUUAUUAUAUUUCNNNNNNNNNNNNNNNNNNNNNNNNNNNNNNNNNNNNNNNNNNNNNNNNNNNNNNNNNNNNNNNNNNNNNNNNNNNNNNNNNNNNNNNNNNNNNNNNNNNNNNNNNNNNNNNNNNNNNNNNNNNNNNNNNNNNNNNNNNNNNNNNNNNNNNNNNNNNNNNNNNNNNNNNNNNNNNNNNNNNNNNNNNNNNNNNNNNNNNNNNNNNNNNNNNNNNNNNNNNNNNNNNNNNNNNNNNNNNNNNNNNNNNNNNNNNNNNNNNNNNNNNNNNNNNNNNNNNNNNNNNNNNNNNNNNNNNNNNNNNNNNNNNNNNNNNNNNNNNNNNNNNNNNNNNNNNNNNNNNNNNNNNNNNNNNNNNNNNNNNNNNNNNNNNNNNNNNNNNNNNNNNNNNNNNNNNNNNNNNNNNNNNNNNNNNNNNNNNNNNNNNNNNNNNNNNNNNNNNNNNNNNNNNNNNNNNNNNNNNNNNNNNNNNNNNNNNNNNNNNNNNNNNNNNNNNNNNNNNNNNNNNNNNNNNNNNNNNNNNNNNNNNNNNNNNNNNNNNNNNNNNNNNNNNNNNNNNNNNNNNNNNNNNNNNNNNNNNNNNNNNNNNNNNNNNNNNNNNNNNNNNNNNNNNNNNNNNNNNNNNNNNNNNNNNNNNNNNNNNNNNNNNNNNNNNNNNNNNNNNNNNNNNNNNNNNNNNNNNNNNNNNNNNNNNNNNNNNNNNNNNNNNNNNNNNNNNNNNNNNNNNNNNNNNNNNNNNNNNNNNNNNNNNNNNNNNNNNNNNNNNNNNNNNNNNNNNNNNNNNNNNNNNNNNNNNNNNNNNNNNNNNNNNNNNNNNNNNNNNNNNNNNNNNNNNNNNNNNNNNNNNNNNNNNNNNNNNNNNNNNNNNNNNNNNNNNNNNNNNNNNNNNNNNNNNNNNNNNNNNNNNNNNNNNNNNNNNNNNNNNNNNNNNNNNNNNNNNNNNNNNNNNNNNNNNNNNNNNNNNNNNNNNNNNNNNNNNNNNNNNNNNNNNNNNNNNNNNNNNNNNNNNNNNNNNNNNNNNNNNNNNNNNNNNNNNNNNNNNNNNNNNNNNNNNNNNNNNNNNNNNNNNNNNNNNNNNNNNNNNNNNNNNNNNNNNNNNNNNNNNNNNNNNNNNNNNNNNNNNNNNNNNNNNNNNNNNNNNNNNNNNNNNNNCGUUCCACUACAUCAACUGCAUUUCUUAACGCUUCUCCUGUGCGGUCUACAAGGGUACGUAGAUUGGAAAUCCCCUCUCCUAGAUGGACAUCACCAUGAUAGGUCUUCGUGCGCGUAGGAAAUUUUUUGUUUCCCAUGCGACGUUCCCCAACAGUGGCAUCAUGAGCUAGGUUCAUGCGUAGAUGUCUUCUCGAGUAGAACACAAAAGUUUUUUGUGGGCGGUGAUGUGCGUUUUGAUGCCCUCCUGAGUAUUUUCUUGAUUCCGCGGUAUUGUUGGAUCGAAGCGGCUCGGACCGACAUUACUCGUACGCUUACGAGAGACUGGUUUCAUCGCUACGAGUAACUCCGUUGCUCAAAGAUGACCGGCGAGUGUCGGUUUCUCCAAUUUUAGUUGAAUCGGAUUUGACCGAGGAGGUCCUUGGAUGAGGUUAAAUAGCAAUUCAUAUAUCUCCGUUGUGGUGUUUGUGUAAGUAAGAUGCGAUCCUACUAGAUACCCAUGGUCAGCACAUAAAACAUGCAACAACAAUUAGAGGACGUCUAACUUGUUUUUGCAGGGUAUGCUUGUGAUGUGAUAUGGCCAACGAUGUGAUGUGAUAUAUUGGAUGUAUGAGAUGAUCAUGUUGUAAUAGUUAAUAUCGACUUGCACGUCGAUGGUACGGCAACCAGCAUGAGCCAUAGGUUUGUCUUUAAACUAACGUUUGUGCUUGCAGAUGCGUUUACUAUAUUGCUAGGACGUAGCUUUAGUAGUAAUAGCAUGAGUAGCACGACAACCCCGAUGGCGACACGUUGAUGGAGAUCAUGGUGUGACACCGGUGACAAGAAGAUCGUGCCGGUGCUUUGGUGAUGGAGAUCAAGAAGCACAUGAUGAUGGCCAUAUCAUGUCACUUAUGAAUUGCAUGUGAUGUUAAUCCUUUAUGCACCUUAUCUUGCUUAGAACGACGGUAGCAUUAUGAGGUAAUCUCUCACUAAAAUUUCAAGACGAAAUUGUGUUCUCCCCGACUGUGCACCGUUGCGACAGUUCUUUGUUUCGAGGCACCACGUGAUGAUCGGGUGUGAUAGACUCAACGUUCACAUACAACAGGUGCAAAACAGUUGCACACGCUGAACACUCGGGUUAAGCUUGACGAGCCUAGCAUGUGCAGACAUGGCCUCGGAACACAUGAGACCGAAAGGUCGAGCAUGAAUCGUAUAGUUGAUAUGAUUAGCAUAGAGAUGCUUACCACUGAAACUAUUCUCGACAAACGUGAUGAUCGGACUUGAGAUAGUGGAUUUGGAUCAUGUACCACUCAAAUGACUAGAGAGAUGUACUUUUUGAGUGGGAGUUCUUAAGUAAUAUGAUUAAUUGAACUAAUUGUCAUGAACAUAGUCUAAUGGUCUUUGCGAAUUACGAUGUAGCUUGCGCUAUAGCUCUACUUUUUUUUAUAUGUUCCUAGAGAAAAUUUAGUUGAAAGUUGAUAGUAGCAAACUUUGCAGAUUGAGUCUAUAAAACCGAGGAUUGUCCUCGUUGCUGCGUAGAAGGCUUAUGUCCUUAAUGCACCACUCGGUGUGCUGCACCUCGAGCGUCGUCUGUAGAUGUUGUGAACAUCCGACAUACACGUUUCUGAUGACUACACGAUAGUUCAGUACAAAAUACUUAGUGGCUUAGAAGCAAGGCGCCGAAGACGUUUUGAAACGUCACGGAACAUGAGAGAUGUUCUAAAGAGAUGAAAUUGUGAUUUCAUGCCUGUGCCCUUGUUAAGAGCUAUGAGACCUCCGACAAGAUUCUUUGUCCACGAAGUAAAGGAGAAAAGCUCAAUCGUUGAGCGUGUGCUCAGAUUAUCUGAGUACGACAAUCACUUGAAUCAAGUGGGAGUUGAUCUUCCAGAGAAUAUAGUGAUGGUUCUCCAAAGUCACUGCCACCAAGCUGUGAGAGCUUCGUGAUGAACUAUAACAUAUCAAGGAUAUAUACAAUGAUCCUUGAGCGAUUCGCGAUGUUUGACACUGCGAGAGUAGAAAUCAAGAAGGAGCAUCAAUAGUUGAUGGUUAGUAAAACCACUAAGUUUCGAGAAGGCAAGGGCUAGAAGGGAUACUUCGUGAAAUGGCAAAGCAGUUGCUGCAUUAAUGAAGAGACCCCAGAUUAAACCCAAGCCCGGGACUAAGUGCUUCUGUUAUGAGGGGAACGGUCACUGAGGCGGAGCAACUUUAGAUACUUGGUAGAUAAAAAGGUUGGCAAAAGUCGAAAGAAGUAUAUUUGAUAUACAUGAUGUUGAUGUGUACUUUACUAGUACUCCUAGUAGCACGAGGGUAUUGGAUACCGGUUCGGUUGCUAAGUGAUUAGUAACACGAAAUGAAAGCUACGACAUAAACGGAGACUAGCUAAAGGCGAGGUGACGAUACGUGUUGGCAGUGUUUCCAAGGUUGAUAUGAUCAAACGUCGCACGCUCCCUCUACCAUCGGGAUUGGUGUUAAACCUAAAUAAUUGUUAUUUGGUGCUUGCGUUAAGCAUGAACAUGAUUGGAUCGUGUUUAUUGCAAUACGAUUAUUCAUUUAAAGAGAAUAAUGGUUACUCUAUUUGCUUGAAUAAUCACCUUCAAUGGUUUAUUGAAUCUCGAUCGUAGUGUUACACAUGUUCAUGAUAUUAGUGCCAAAAGAUACGAGGUAAUGAUGAUAGUACCACUUACUUGUGGCACUGCCGCUUGAGUCAUGUUGGUAUAAAUCGCAUGAAGAGGCUCAAUGCUGAUGGAUCUUUAUACUCACUUGAUUUUGAAUCACUAGUGACAUGAAAAUCAUACCACAUGAGCAAGGCCUUGUUUUUGUUGAGAUGAAACAAGAUAAGUAACUUGUUGGAAGUGAUACAUUUUGAUGUAUGCAAUCCAAUGGGUGCUGAGGCACGCAGUGGAUAUCAUUAUGUUCUUACUUCAAUGACGAUUUGAGUAGAUACAAGAGUAUUUACUUAAUGAAUCGCAAGUCUGAAAUAUUGAAAAGUUCAAUUCUGUUUCGGAGUGAAGUUCGUCGUAACAAGAGGAUAAACUGUCUACGAUAUGAUCAUAGAAAUGAAUAUCUGACUUACGAGUUUUGGUACGCAGUUAAGACAAUGUGGAAAUUGUUUCGCAGUUCAUGCCACUUGGAACAUCAUAGUGUGAUGAUGUGUCUGAACAUCAUAGCCACGCACUAUUUGGUAUGGUGCAUGCUAUGAUGUCUCUUAUCGAAGUACCACUAUCGUUUAUGGGUUAUGCAUUAGAGAAAACCGCAUUCACUUUAAAUAGGGCACCGCGUAUUUCCGUUGAGAUGACACAGUAUAGACUGAGGUUUAGAGAAAUCUAAACUGUCGUUUCUUGAAAGUUUGGGGCUUCGACACUUAUGUGAAAAAGUUUCAGUCUGAUAAGCUCGAACCCAAAGCGGAUAAAUGCAUCUUCAUAGGAUAUCCAAAACAGUUGGGUACAUCUCCUAUCUCAGAUCCGAAAGCAAAGUGUUUGUUUCUAAAAAUGGAUCCUUUCUCGAGGAAAGGUUUCUCUCGAAAGAAUUGAGUGGGAGGGUGGUAGAACUUGAUGAGGUUAUUGAACCAUCACUUCAACCAGUGUGUAGCAGGGCGCAGGAAGUUGUUCCUGUGGCGCCUAUACCAAUUGAAGUGAAAGCUGAUGAUGGUGAUCAUCGAGCAUCGACUCAAGUUACUACAAAUCUCGUAGGUUGACAAGGUCGCGUACUACUACAGAGUGGUACGGUAACCCUGCCUUGGAGGUCAUGUUGUUGAGCAACAAUGAACCUACGAGUUAUGGAGAAAGCAAUGGUGGGCCCGGAUUCCGACAAAUGGCUGGAGGCCAUGAAAUCCGAGAGAGGAUCCAUGUAUGAAAACAAAGUGUAGACUUUGGAAGAACUACUUGAUGGUCAUAGGACUAUUGAGUAAAGAUGGAUCUUUAAAAGGAAGACAGACGAUGAUGGUGAUAAGUCACUAUUAAGAAAAGCUCGACUUGUCGCAAAGAUGUUUCCGACAAGAUCAAACAGUUGACUAUGAUGAGACUUUCUCACUCGUAGCGAUGCUAAAAGUCUGUUAGAAUUAUGUUAGUUGUUGAUGCAUUAUUUAUGAAAUAUUGCACAUAGGAUGUCAAAACAUUGUUUCCUCGACGGUUUCCUUGAGCAAACAUUGUAUGUGAUACAACCAGGAGGUUUUGUCGAUCCUAAAGAUACUAGCAAGUAUGCAAGCUCCAGCGAUCCUUCAAUGGACUGGUGCAAGCAUCUCGGAGUUGGAAUAUACACUUUGAUGAGAUGAUCAAAGAUUUUGGGUUUGUACAAGGUUUAUGAGAAACUUGUAUUUCCAAAGAAGUGAGUGGGAGCACUAUAGAAUAUCUGAUAAGUAUAUGUGGUUGACAUAUUGUGGAUCAGAAGUAAUGUAGAAUUUCUGUAAAGCAUACAAGGUUGUUUGAAAGGAGUUUUCAAAGGAGUACCUGGAUUGCGCUACUUGAACGUUGAGCAUCAAAAAUCUAUGGAGAUAGAUCGAAAGCGCUUAAUGGAAGUUUCAACAAGAUGCAUGCCUUGACAAGUUUUUGAAAGAGUUCAAAAUAAAUCAACAAAGAAGGAGUUCUUGGUUGCGUUGUAAGGUGUGAAUUUGAGUAAGACUCAAAACCCGACCACGACAGAAUAAAGAUAAUAGACGAAGGUCGUCUUCUAUGCCUUAGCCGUAGACUCUAAAGUAUGCCAUGCUGUGUACCGCACCUGAUGUGUGCCUUGACUCAAAGUCUGUUGAGAGGUAUAGAGAGUGAUCCAUGAUUGAAUCACUAGCAGCGGUCAAAAUUUAUCCUUAGUAACUGAUGGACUAAGGAAUUUUUCUCGAUUGUGGAGGUGGUUAAAGAGUUCGUCGUAAAGGGUUACGUCGAUGCAAGCUUUGACACUAAUCCGAAUAACUAUGAGUAGUGAAACGGAUUCGUAUAGCAGAGUAGAUAUUUGGAGCAUUUCCGAAUAGCACGUAGUAGCAGCAUCUAUAACAUGACAUAAAGAUUUGUAAAGAACGCACGGAUGUGAAAGUUUCAGAACCGUUGACUAAAACCUCUCUCACGAGCAAGACGUGAUCAGACCCCAGAACUAUAUGGGUGUUGGAUUCGUUGAAAUCACAUGGUGAUGUGAACUAGAUUAUUGACUCUAGUGCAAGUGGGAGACUGUUGGAAAUAUGCCCUAGAGGCAAUAAUAAUUAGUCAUUAUUAUAUUUCUUUGNNNNNNNNNNNNNNNNNNNNNNNNNNNNNNNNNNNNNNNNNNNNNNNNNNNNNNNNNNNNNNNNNNNNNNNNNNNNNNNNNNNNNNNNNNNNNNNNNNNNNNNNNNNNNNNNNNNNNNNNNNNNNNNNNNNNNNNNNNNNNNNNNNNNNNNNNNNNNNNNNNNNNNNNNNNNNNNNNNNNNNNNNNNNNNNNNNNNNNNNNNNNNNNNNNNNNNNNNNNNNNNNNNNNNNNNNNNNNNNNNNNNNNNNNNNNNNNNNNNNNNNNNNNNNNNNNNNNNNNNNNNNNNNNNNNNNNNNNNNNNNNNNNNNNNNNNNNNNNNNNNNNNNNNNNNNNNNNNNNNNNNNNNNNNNNNNNNNNNNNNNNNNNNNNNNNNNNNNNNNNNNNNNNNNNNNNNNNNNNNNNNNNNNNNNNNNNNNNNNNNNNNNNNNNNNNNNNNNNNNNNNNNNNNNNNNNNNNNNNNNNNNNNNNNNNNNNNNNNNNNNNNNNNNNNNNNNNNNNNNNNNNNNNNNNNNNNNNNNNNNNNNNNNNNNNNNNNNNNNNNNNNNNNNNNNNNNNNNNNNNNNNNNNNNNNNNNNNNNNNNNNNNNNNNNNNNNNNNNNNNNNNNNNNNNNNNNNNNNNNNNNNNNNNNNNNNNNNNNNNNNNNNNNNNNNNNNNNNNNNNNNNNNNNNNNNNNNNNNNNNNNNNNNNNNNNNNNNNNNNNNNNNNNNNNNNNNNNNNNNNNNNNNNNNNNNNNNNNNNNNNNNNNNNNNNNNNNNNNNNNNNNNNNNNNNNNNNNNNNNNNNNNNNNNNNNNNNNNNNNNNNNNNNNNNNNNNNNNNNNNNNNNNNNNNNNNNNNNNNNNNNNNNNNNNNNNNNNNNNNNNNNNNNNNNNNNNNNNNNNNNNNNNNNNNNNNNNNNNNNNNNNNNNNNNNNNNNNNNNNNNNNNNNNNNNNNNNNNNNNNNNNNNNNNNNNNNNNNNNNNNNNNNNNNNNNNNNNNNNNNNNNNNNNNNNNNNNNNNNNNNNNNNNNNNNNNNNNNNNNNNNNNNNNNNNNNNNNNNNNNNNNNNNNNNNNNNNNNNNNNNNNNNNNNNNNNNNNNNNNNNNNNNNNNNNNNNNNNNNNNNNNNNNNNNNGUUCCACUACAUCAACCGCGUUUCUUAACGCUUUUGCUGUGCGGUCUACAAGGGUACGUAGAUCGGAAAUCCCCUCUCGUAGAUGGACAUCACCAUGAUAGGUCUUCGUGCGCGUAGGAAAUUUUUUGUUUCCCAAGCGACGUUCCCCAACAAAGCAUUCAGUAGCUGGAUAAGCCUCCCCCAAGCUUGUGGGAGACUCUCUUCCUCAGCUUGAGCAAAGUUGUAUAUUUCCUACAAGGCAGCUUGCUUCUUAUGGGCAGGGAAAUAUUUUUCAGAGAACUAGUAGACCAUAUCCUGGGGGCUACGCACACAACCAGGAGCAAGAGAAGUGAACCAAGUCUUAGCAUCAUCCUUUAGCGAGAAAGGAAACAACUUGAAGAUAUAGUAGUGGCGGAUCUUUUCCUCACUAGCGAAUAGGGUGGCUAUAUCGUGCAGUUUGGUAAGAUGGGCUACAACCGUUUCAGACACAUAACUGUGAAAAGGAUCAGAUUCGACCAGAGUGAUUAACUCAAGGUCGACAGAGAAUUCAUAAUCCUUAUCGGUCACAAAGAUAGGUGAAGUUGCAAACUUCGGGUCGUAUUUCAUCCUAGCGUUCAGAGACUUUUCUUUCCACUUGAGCAGUAGUUUCUGAACAUCAUAGCUAUCAUUACAUGGAAGAAAGUCCCCGGCUAUCUCUCCCUCCAUACCAUAGCGCUCAGUCAUAACAGGCAAUUCAGGAAUAGUAGCAGGUUCAACUUCAAUAGUAUCAGCAGUUUCAGAAGUAUCAUCACAUCUAGCACCAACUCUAGCAAUUUGUGCAUCAAGGAAUGCACCUAGUGGCAAAGCAGUAUCAAGCAUAGCAUCAUCAAGCAAAGCAGUAUCAAGCAUAGCAUCAUCAUAAGCAUCAUGGGCAGUAGAAGUAGCAUCAUCAAGCACAGGCGAUAUAUCAAGAUUUCUAGCAGGAGGUGAUGUCGAAAAAUUACUCAAAACUGAAGGUGAAUCAAGUGCAGAGCUAGAUGGCAGUUCCUUACCUGUCCUCAUAGUGGAAGGCAAGAUUUCAGUUCUUGGAUCUUUCGGAUUCCUCAUAGUGAUCAGCAGACGUCAAUCCCAAGUGACUUCGAGAAUAUAGCUGUGCUUCCCCGGCAACGACACCAGAAAAUAGCCUUGAUAACCCACAAGUGUAGGGGAUCACAACAGUUUUCGAGGGUAGAGUAUUCAACCCAAAUUUAUUAAUUCGACUCAAGGGGAAGCGAAAGAAUAUUCUCAAGUAUUAGCAGCUGAGUUGUCAAUUCAACCACACCUGAAAGAUUAGUGUCUGCAAGCAAAGUAUCAGUAGAAAAGUGGUAUGAUAGCAACGGUGUCAGAAACAUGUCUGUUGACGGCAGCUAUUCCUAACUUGUUGUAUCAAUGGCGCCAGUAAAGUCUUGCAACAGGUAGCAACAAAGUAGCAAGUAACAUCAGUAUUGACAGCAGCAGCAAGGAACAACAAUAGUGACAGCAGCAGCAAGUAACAGCAAUAGUGACAACAGUAGCACAAAGUAACAAGAGUAGCAACAGAGUAACGAUAGGAGCAGAGUAACAACAGUAGCAAGGACCAGUAGUAAAAGACUCGUAGGCAUUGGAUCGGUGAUGGAUGAUUAUGACAGAUGCGAUUCAUCAUGUAACAGCUAUAAGACGGAGAGAUAAGUAACUAGCUCUCGUUCGUCAAUCUAAUGUAGGCUUGUAUUCCGUAUGUAGUCAUAUGUGCUUAGGGAAAAGAACUUGCAUGACAUCUAUUGUCCAUCCCUCCCGUGGCAGUGGGGUCCUAAUGGAAACUAUGGGAUAUUGAGGUUCUCCUUUUAAUAAAGAACCGGACCAACGCAUUAACAUGUGGUGAAUACAUGAACUCCUCAUACUAUGGUCAUCUCCGGGAGUGGUUCCGGCUAUUGUCACUCCGGGGUUGCCGGGUCAUAACACAUAGUAGGUGACUACAACUUGCAAGAUAGGAUCUAAAACACACAUAUAUUGGCGACAACAUAAUAGGUUCAGANNNNNNNNNNNNNNNNNNNNNNNNNNNNNNNNNNNNNNNNNNNNNNNNNNNNNNNNNNNNNNNNNNNNNNNNNNNNNNNNNNNNNNNNNNNNNNNNNNNNNNNNNNNNNNNNNNNNNNNNNNNNNNNNNNNNNNNNNNNNNNNNNNNNNNNNNNNNNNNNNNNNNNNNNNNNNNNNNNNNNNNNNNNNNNNNNNNNNNNGUAGUAGCAACAUCAAUAUCAGAACAUAGUGGAUACUAGGAAUCAAUCCCCGUCAAAACUAACUCGAUUACAUGAUAGAUCUCAUCCAACUCAUCACCGUCCAGCAAGCCUACAAUGAGAUUACUCACGAACGGUGAAGAGCAUCAUGGAAUUGUCGAUGGAGGAAGGUUGAUGAUGACGAUGGCGACGAUUUCCCCUCUCCGGAGCCCAGAACGGACUCCAGAUCUGCCCUCCACAUGAAGAACAGGAGGUGGCGGCGCCUCCGUAUCGUAAAACGCGAUGAAUCCUUCUCUCUGAUUUUUUCCAGGCGAAACGGAAUAUAUAGAGCUGAGUUUGGAGGCGGCGGAGCCUCGUGGGCCCCACAAGCCUGGUUGGUGCGGCCUGGGGGGUGGCCGCGCCCCCUGGGCUUGUGGCCCACUGGCUCACCCCCUCCGGUGGAUCUUUGCGUAGGUAUUUUUCAUUAAUUCCAGAAAAUUUCUCCUUAAAUUUCCAGGUCAGUCCGAGAACUUUUAUUUCUGCACAAAAAUAACGCCAUGGCAAUUCUGCUAAAAACAGCGUUAGUCUGGGUUAGUUCCAUUCAAAUUAUGCAAAUUAGAGUCCAAAACAAGGGCAAAAGAGUUCGGAAAAGUAGAUACGACGGAGACGUAUCAUCGUGCUUUCGGAGAAUUCAGCUACCUCUCCGUCUCUCUUGCUGGAUCAAGAAGGCGGAGAUCGUCAUCGAGCUGCACGUGUGCUGAACGCGGAGGUGCCAUCCGUUCAGCACUAGAUCGAGAAGGAUUGUGAUGAGAUCGCGGGAUGGAUCAUCAUGAGAUCGCGGGAGGAUCGUGAUGGGAUCACGGGAUGGAUCGUGAUUGGAUCGCGAAGAUGUUCGACUACAUUAACCGCAUUAUAUACGCUUCCACUUAGCGAUCUACAAGGCUUUGUAGAUGCACUCUCCCCUCUCGUAGAUGGUCAUCACCAUGGAUAGGACUUGCGUGUGCGUCCGAUUUUUUUGUUUCCCAUGCAAUGUUCCCCAUCAAGGAGGAGGGCCAACUUUCGUCCAUUUGAAGUAACUAGGUAGAGGUGGACUAGGAUUUUGUACACACGAGGAGUGUUCUGAUUAUAUUUUAUGAAUCCAUGUAUGAAUCAUUGCCUCAUGUGUGUAUUAAAGGAUCUAUGUAUUAAUGAUCUAUGCAUUGAGUACUAUGUGUUUCAUGAAUGGAUGAGUUUUAUGUGUUUGAAUGAUUGGAUGAUUUUUACGUGUUUGAAUGAAUGGAUGAUUUUUAUGUGUUUGAAUGUAAGGACAAUUUUUAGGGUUGGUCGACAAUCUUGCCACCCAAAAUGGCCAAAUUAGGUCAUUUUAGGGUUGGUCGACAAUCUUGCUACCCAAAAUGGCCAAAUUAGGUCAUCUUAGGGUUGGUCGACACCUUGCCACUCAAAAUUGCCCAAUUAGGUCAAUUUAGGUUUGGACUACUGUCGAAUUUCGGGCUCCGCAAAAUCCUAAAGAUUCUAACUCAGGGGCAUGUAUGAAGAUCUCUCGCGGGCUCACCUCACCUAACUCGCUACUCGCUUGGGAUGGCAGAGAACUCACUCGAUGGUGAGGACGACACAGAACAUGGCAGUUUACCUAGGUUCGGGCCGUUGUGAAGCGUAAUACCCUACUCUUGCUUUGGUGGAUUGCCCCUCGUGGAGGUUGGUAGAUGAACUAGUACAGUGUUCGAGGGCCUCCACAGGCUGGGUGGCCUUUGUGAUGCCAGUGGGCGAAUGAAUGAAUCGGAUCCCCUAUGAAGUAACCUACACUCUCUCUAUAUAGUGGCGUCCCUGGUCCUCUUCCCUUAUCGUUUCAGCGGGAAGAGAUCCCACAACGGCCAAUUUUAAAGGGGAACACGGGAACAUGCUCCCCUCCCAAAGGUAGUCUUCGCCUACAAAGUGGGUGCCAUCGCUGCAGGGACGGGUCCAGGGAUGACGUCUGUCCUGCUGGCGGGCGGCGACGGCCUUGUUGGACCAGAAAGGAAACCUUUGGAAGAUGCCUUGGGAACCCCGGUUCGUCCUUUCCCCCUUUGCACUAAAGGGGAAACUGCUUCGUCCUGCUUUCUGCUGCUCGCCUGUCCUUCCUCCGCGUCAUCCUUAACUCGUGAGGCCGGGUCUCGCCUCGGAAUAUCCGUCGCUGUGGAGGGGUCCUGACGAGGCCCCUUGUGGGUCUUGAUGCUGUUCCUCUUCGCGAGGCUUGGCCCCUCGAGGACCUUGCCUUGAGUGGUGCCGCGCCCGAUUGUGCUUGCUUGAUGAAGUGGGCAAGCCCUGGGCCACAGGCAUGCAGGUAUGGGUACCCCCAUUCCCAGAAUGCCGACAUCUACAUCUUGCCACCCAUAAUGGCCUAAUUAAGCCAUUUUAGGGUUGGUCUACAUCUUGCCACCCAAAAGGGCCUAAUUAGGUCAUUUUAGGGUUGGUCGACAUCUUGCCACCCAAANNNNNNNNNNNNNNNNNNNNNNNNNNNNNNNNNNNNNNNNNNNNNNNNNNNNNNNNNNNNNNNNNNNNNNNNNNNNNNNNNNNNNNNNNNNNNNNNNNNNNNNNNNNNNNNNNNNNNNNNNNNNNNNNNNNNNNNNNNNNNNNNCCACCCAAAAUGGCCAACUUAGGUCAUUUUAGGGUUGGUUGACAUGUUGCCACCCAAAAUGGCCAAAUUAGGUCAUUUUAGGGUUGGUCGACAUGUUGCCACCCAAAAUGGCCUAAUUAGGUCAUUUUAGGGUUGGUNNNNNNNNUGCCACCCAAAAUGGCCAAAUUAGGUCAUUUUAGGGUUGGUCGACAUCUUGCCACCCAAAAUGGCAUAAUUAGGCCAUUUUAUGGUGGGUCGACAUCUUGCCACCCAAAUGGCCAAAUUAGGUCCUUUUAGGGUUGCUCGACAUUUUGCCACCCAAAAUUGCCAAAUUAGGUCAUUUUAAGGUUGGUUGACAACCUUGCCACCUAAAAUGGCCAAAUUAGGNNNNNNNNNNNNNNNNNNNNNNNNNNNNNNNNNNNNNNNNNNNNNNNNNNNNNNNNNNNNNNNNNNNNNNNNNNNNNNNNNNNNNNNNNNNNNNNNNNNNNNNNNNNNNNNNNNNNNNNNNNNNNNNNNNNNNNNNNNNNNNNNNNNNNNNNNNNNNNNNNNNNNNNNNNNNNNNNNNNNAUCUUGCCACCCAAAAUAGCAUAAAUAGGCAAUUUUGUGGUGGGUCGACAUCUUGCCACCCAAAUGGAAAAAUUAGGUCCUUUUAGGGUUCGUCGACAUCUUGGCACCCAAAAUUGCCAAAUUAGGUCAUUGUAGGGUUGGUUGACAAUCUUGCCACCCAAAAUGUCCAAAUUAGGUCAUUUUAGGGUUGAUCGAUAUCUUCCCACCCAAAAUGGCCUAAUUAGGUCAUUUUAGGGUUGGUCGACAUCUUGCCACCCAAAAUGGCAUAAUUAGGUCAUUUUAGGGUUGGUCGACGUCUUACCACCCAAAAUGGCCUCAUUAGGUCAUUUUAGGGUUGAUCCACAUCUUGCACCUAAAAUUGCCAAAAUAGGUCAUUUUAGGGUUGGUCGACAUCUUGCCACCCAAAAUGGCCAAUGUUGGCAAAAUUCAACAGCAUCAUAAUCAUCAUAUCAAAAAAUGACCUAUACCUAACAUAGACAUGCAAAUAUCAAAUCCAAAAGUACCUUAACCAAUAGCAUGACACGACCAUCAUCACACAUUAUUUAAUUGUUCCAAGCAUGCCAAACAAACAUAGUUUAGGGCAACAAACAAAGAUAGGAAACUAACUGUCCCAAGAAUGCCAAACAAACAUAGUUUAGGGAAUGACAAGUAUAAGUUUCAUAACCAUAUUACAAAACAUUUAGUGGUUGCCACUAGCUGUAAAAUACUCAUCCCACUUGCUUGGGGUGUUCGUCUUCCUCUUUAAACCAACACCUCGUGCAGUUGAUGUUGAUGCUGACAUUGGAGCAUUGAAAACUCUUGCAACUCUUGACCUAGUGUUCUUUGUUGGAGGUGAUGCACUUGACCUGGCGUUCUUGGCUAGUGUUGAAGAUAUGUUCUUUCUCUUUCUUGAUGCUGCUGUUGAGACUAUGAUACAUCUUCGAUGUAUCUAUAAUUUUUGAUUGUUCCAUGCUAUACUAUUACCAUUGUAGGAUAUUUUGGGCAUUUAUUUGCUAAUUCAUAUUAUUUUUGAGCAUUAAACUAUUAACCUAGUGCCAAGUGUCACUUGUUGUUUUCUGCAUGUUUUUGGCUUUUCAGGUUUACUAUACCAAACGCAGUCCAAAUACCACAAAACUUUUUGAUGAUUUUUUCUGGACCAAAAGAGGAUCUAGAAGCUUCGGGAGAAGGCCGGGAGCUGCACGAGGGCCCCACAAGCCAACAUGGCGUGCCUAGCGGGGUUUUCCAUGCCGUGUUAGCUUUUGGCCCCCUCGGCUCUCCUGACCUCGUUCUUUGGCUCAUAGAUCCUCAUAUAUUCGAAAACACAAAAGAGAGCUCCCGAAACACUUUUUUCGUUGCCAAAAGUCUCUGUUUCUCCGUGUGCCCAUUUGGAGCCAUGUGCCUUGUCGGAGUGGGGAUCGAUCAUGGAGGGCCUCUACAUAAACCUUGGUGCUCCCAUGGUGAUGUGUGUGUAGUUUACUAUAGAACUACGUGCCCAUAGCUAGUAUAUAAAUGACUCUCUCUAUCUAUGUUCUUCAAUGCAAAGUUCAUCGCAUAUUCGCGAUGAUCUAUUUGAUGUAGUCACUAUGUGUGGUGUGUUUGUUGGGAUCCGAUGAAUUGUGGGUUUAUAUUCAGAUUAUUCGUGAUAAAGAUUCGAGUCUUGUCUGAAUUACUAUUCGAUUCUUGUUUGCAUGAUUAUUAUAGCAUCAUAAAUCUCUACGAUCUAUUGAUUUUGUUUGGCCAACUAGAUUAAUGUAUCUUCAGUGAGAGGAGUGCAUUGUAGUGGGUUCAAUCUUCCGAUGAUCAAUCCUAGUGUCAGAAAGGGACAUGACACAUAGUUUUACUGUUUACAUUAAGGAUAAAAUAAUGGGGUUCAUUCAUAUUAAUUGAUUUUACUUUGCCUACAUCAUGUCAUUGUUCUCCAAGCAUUACACUGUUUUACUUAAUACUCUAGAUGCAUGAUCGAUAGAAGUCGACGGGUGGAGUAAUAGUAGUAGAUGCAGGCAGGAGUCGAUCUACUUGCUUAUGGACGUGAUUCCUAUAUACACAUGAUCAUUGCCGUGAAUAAAUAUCUUGGGGAACGACACAUUGGGAUCAAAAAAAUUCCUACACUCACCAAGAUCUAUCUAUGGAGAUCAACAUCUACGAGAGGGGGAGUGCUUCUACAUACGCUUGUAGAUUGCUAAAUGAAAGCGUUGAGAAACGCGGUUGAUGUAGUAUAAUGUCUUCAUGAUCCAAUCACGAUCCGUCACGCGAUCCAAUCACGAACGUCCCGAUCAAGUGCUGAACGGACGACACAUUCGCGUUCACCACAUGUACAACUCGAUGACGCAUUCACCACCUCGAUCUAGAGAGUGUGGGCGAAGUUGUAGCUCAGUUCUCUGGCAACACGAUGGGGUGGUAGCGGUGGUGGCGGUGCUAUUCCGGUAGGGCUACGCCGAGCGCUACCGAAACUACAAACGGAGGAGAAAACGAUCUAGGGAGAGAGAGGGGAGCUAAGGGCUUGGUGUGUCCUGUUGGGGAGCCCCUCCCCUCUAUAUAUAGGUUGAGGGGCGUGGGGAACAGCCCCUCCAAGCCCUAGGGCGCAUCCAAGGUGGAAGGAGGUGGAAUCCUAGUCCUCCUCCUUCCUGUCCAUACAAAGGUGGACUUUCCACGUUUCCCAACUACAUGGGCCUUGAGGGAGUUGUGUGCCUGGCCCAAUAAUGCAGGGGUGCCUCCCCUCAGCCCAUGCAAACCCUUGGGAUGUGGUGGAACCCUUGGUGGAAUUCCAGUCUCCUCCGGAAGUUUUAGGAACAUUCUAGAACCUUCCCGAUACAAUAUCAGAAAAAUCUGGAACUUUUUUGGUAGCCAAAAUAUGACUUCCCAUAUAAAAAUCCUUACCUCCGGACUAUUCUGGAGCUCCUCCUGAUGUCCGGGAUCUCAUUUGGGACUCCGAACAACCUUCGGUGACCAACACAAUAACUCAACUAUACGUAUAUCGUCACCAAAUGUUAAGUGUGCAGACCCUGCGGGUUUGAGAACUAUGCAGACAUGACCGAGACACCUCUACGGUCAAUAACCAAUAGCGGGACCUGGAUGCCGAUAUUGGUUCCUACAUAUUCUAUGAAGAUCUUUAUCGGUCGAACCAUGAUGUCAAGGAUUUAGUUAAUCCCGUAUGUCAUUCCUUUUCUACGGUAUGUUGCUUGCUCGAGAUUCGAUAGUCGGUAUCUCCAUACCUAUUUUAAUCUCAUUACUGGUAUGUCUCUUCACUCGUUCCGUAAUACAAGAUCCUGUGGCUAAAUCCUUAGUCACAUUACUUGCAAGCUUAUUGUGAUGUUGUAUUACCGAGUGGGCCCCGAGAUAACUCUCCGUCAUACAGAGUGACAAAUCCCACUCUUGUUCCAUGCCAACUCCACACACACCCUCGGAGACACCUGCAGAUCAUCUUUAUAGUCACCUAGUUAUGUUGCAUCGUUUGAUACACACAAGACAUUCCUCCAGUGUUAGUGAGUUGCAUGAUCUCAUGGGCAUAGGAACAAAUACAUUGGCAUGCAUAAAGCAAUAGAGUAAACUUGAUAUGAUCAUAUGUUAUGCUUACGGUUUGGGUCUUGUCCAUCACAUCAUUCUCCUAAUGAUGUGAUCCCGUUAUAAAUGACAACUCAUGUCUAUGGCUAGGAAACCUUAGGCAUCUUUGAUCAAUGAAGUAGUCCAGUAGAGGCUUGCUAGGGACACCGUGUUGUCUAUGUAUCCACACAUAUACUUGAGUUUCCAAUCAAUACAAUUAUAGGAUGGAUAAUAAACGAUUAUCAUGAACAAGGAAAUAUGAUAAUAACUAAUUUGUUAUUGCCUCUAGGGUAUAUUUUCAACAGUAUCCCACUUGCACUAGGGUUAAUAAUCUAGAUCACAUCACCAUGUAAUUAACACCCAAUGAGUUCUGGGGAUUGAUUAUGCUUUGCUUGUGAGAGAUGUUUUAGUCAAUGAAUAUGCAACAUUCAUAUUCUUGUGUACUUUGCAAAUCUCUAUGUCAUAAUGGAGAUGCUGCUAC